ACUUUAUGGAUGGGAUUGCAUGAUGGUUUCAUUGAAGUGAAACAACUAAGGCCGAUACAGGGAUUGGUUAUGUGUUACAGUUCAUCAUCAGUGCUGCUUAGUUUUUUCGUUGAGUUUGAAAUUUGAGUAAAAUCAGAUCUUAACUUGCUAUUUCGAUGUUUUAAGAGGACCAAAGUAUUCUUGUAGUCCUAAUAGUUCUAGUAAGGCUCGUUUAAAUUGGGGGUACAGACGGAAAUCAACUGUUUCUGGUCAUCAUUGGAUGCUUUAGAUAUGGAUUGUGUUUGAGUAGCAGUUACAGGUUGGGACUAUGAUCUUUUGUGUCAAGGUUCUAUGAAAUCACUUUAUAAUUUUUUUUACUAACAAAAGCUGCUGUAACUUCUUUUAUUCAAGAUCAUUUUUUGAUAAAAAUCAAGAUGGUAUAUAUAUUUCAUACAGGUUGGUCUCCUUAUCUUGCAAAAUGCUUUCAACCAACACUAUUUCAUGUAGGUUUUGUAACUCUGCACUAAUGAUUAUUUCAUUGUGAAGACCAACAAGCCUAUAUAAGCCUUUUUGAGUAAAUUCCCAACUGGUCGGUAGACUUGUUGUGGCCAAAGCCAAUAGCUGUGCUGCUGUUUAAACCAUCAAUAUUAGUAUUUAAAACAAGAAGAAUCAUUUCAUAUCUUGAACAAGUGAUUGUGAAAAGAAGCUGGAGGGUUGAAUUACUUGUAGUGAUGAUUAGGAAAUUUUUACAUUCAUGACUUUAUCCUUCUUCUCUUAUAGGAAAUAACAAAUAUCAUAUGAGAUAUCUUAUUUUUUAGCUUUAUACCCAAUACUGCAGGACCCUCAUCUAAUACAUUCAUGGAAGUUGUCAAAACAGUUCUUAUGCAAGCUUCAGCAACUAAUGAACGUGUUGCUAUAAGAGCCGAACAGAAGAGUUAUGGCUAUCUUCAACUCGGUGCAUCUGCAUUGAACGUUUCCAACUUAUUGCACAACAAAUAUGUUAAAGUAAGUUUAAUUUUCAUGCACACAAAAACACAUAUAUUGCCACCUAUAUCUGUGUCUGAUUUCAUAGAUGCUUUCCUUUUGCAGCUCUAAGUUAUCUGUAGUAUUUCUAUUAAGCUAACAUGGACCAGAUCAAAAUCCAAUGUAAUUGUUCCUAAAGUUUAUGCUCACAGACACACAUAUAUUGCCACCUAUAUCUGUGUCUAAUUUUUUAGAUGCUUUCCUUUUGUAGCUCUAAGUUAUCUGUAGUAUUUACAUUAAGCUAAUAUGGACCAGAUCAAAAUGCAGUGUAAUUAUUCCUUGCAGGUGGCAUAAUUGGUACAUAUUACUACCACUUAUAUAAAUGAUAACUUAUUUUAUAUAUNNNNNNNNNNNNNNNNNNNNNNNNNNNNNNNAUAUAUAUAUUGUAUUUAUGAACCUUCUGCUUGCCAUCCCAUGCUAUGUAGAUGUUGAAGAUUUACUGUCAAAUACUUUGCAUAUGUAUAUAAGAUAUUAUGGAUGUGCUGUUUGUAUACAAAUUUUAUGAAAAUCUGUUCCCUCGCCCCCAUAGCCCUCAUAAAAGGAAUAUUGACUCGAUACCUAUAACCAACAAGCCUUACCUAACAAUCAAUUUGCCUUUAUCUAUUACUCUUUAGCAUUCAUUUAUAUUGAGAGCUACAUCCUAUCUAAAACAAGCUUUUCCGAAUCAUAUUUUGCUGUGACACUAGUUACCUGGGUUUUCCUCUUUCCUGCGGUCCCUUCUUCACUACCUUAGCAUGUCUCCUUACUAGGGUCUCCUUGUAUUUUUCUCAACAUACAUGUACAUGCCAGCGUGGUUUGUGAUUCAUCACUAUCCAUAGUUCAUGCAGCUGCAACAUUACCUGUAUCAUAUUCAUUGAUGACUCAUCCACCACAGCUUUCUCACAUCUCUGAGACUCCAUGUAAAUGCAUGGACCCUGUUUAUGUUGGCCAACAUUCUGUGGCAUAGAACAUGAUUGCUAUUUUUAAGUAAUAUUUCUGCAAAUCUCAAAUGCUUGUGGCCAUCACACAAGAUCCUGGAAGCACUUUUGCAUUCUAUUCCCCCUGCAUUUAAUAUUUUUAGAUAUCUCAUCAGUUCUCGCUGUAUCUUUAAUCUUCUAGAGCAUUCAACAAACUUUGCAUGUUGUUGGAGUUCAGCUAAAACACAAGGUGGAAACGUAAUGCUAAAUAUACGGUUAAAGGCUUAUAGGACAUUGAUAAUGCUUUACAAUGUACUUGUGUUUAAUCCAAAACUUUUUGAUCAAAUGAUUUUUCAAAUUAUGCAGAUACUCAAGGGGUGCAUUAAUUAAUACUCUUAUGUUCAGGGCACCAAUGGAAUGAGAUACCUUGAUGGAGCUCGGGUAGGAAUUGUGGCUAAACCUUCUGCUGAAUUUGUUUCUGGGAUUCUAGGAACUUGGCUUUGUGGAGGUGUUGCAGUUCCACUUGCACUGAGCUACCCAGAAGCAGAGCUUUUUCAUGUGAUGAAUGAUUCGGUUUGUCCUAGCACACAUUUGUUUACUCCCCUUGCCAAAUGAGCUUUGUGCUCAAACCUACUUGUGCACUGGAUAUUCUUCUAAUGUUUGCAUUUUUUUCCCCUUCAUUACAUCCAACUUUCAGAUGGAGUGGAAGAAAUCUUUGGCCUUUUUUUUUUUAGGUUUCCAGUUUGAGAUUCUUCGUGAUUAUACAUGUAUUAUUUAUCUUCUUCAGGCUCAGAGAACUGCUGCCAUGAUAUAAUAAAUUGGAUCUAUCAUAUUCACAUCAUUCAGUUAAAAAUUUAAUAUCUCAUUCUGGCAAGAAAAGUACCCAUAUUUUUAUGAGACUUUUUGUUGGAUUCCUGAUCAUAGAUGCUGAUUUGUUGAUUUUUACUAUUUUGGUGGAGGAUGGAUAUCUAGCACUUGCACAACCAUCUUCCUGGUUGGGUUGUAAAAUAAAUAGGGCUAGGAACAAGGUUGCUGGGUGAAAAUCAUAUGGAAGGCUAAAGUUUAAAACAUAUUCCCACCUGCAGUUCAUAUCUCUUCAAAAUUGGCUAUGACCCUGCUGGGCUUGGGUAAAACUACAUUUCUAUCUGGGAAGCAUUCUUGCAAGAGAAAGGGGGGGGGGAUGGAGAUCGAUUUGCAUAUUCAUUAAUCAAAGGUAUAUUGUUAACAGGCUCUGUAACCAUUGCUAACAUAUACCCCCAAAAUGAUUUAGACUUCUAGAUAUAGGCAUGGAUUUUUAUUUUUUUAAUGACCCAUUUUAAAUAUAGCCUUCUCCUAGAAGUGAGCAGAUACCGAAAAUCUUGUGUGAUUUUAUAGUAUUCGGCAACUUUGUUGUUCCCUGAGACAAACAUUACAAAAGCGUACCUUGAGUGUUGCUGAAGUGAAACUAAAUUCAUAUUAUCUCUAUGGUAUGGUUGAGCUGUAUGUUUCUUAGUUGCAUUUCUCUGCAUAUGUGUUCUUGUGGAGUGUAUAUAGUGCAAUAUGCAGAUGCUAAGAUAUCCUUACUUGUAGGACAUUUCCAUGAUUCUGAGCACUCAAGAGCAUCAACAACUUUUGGAGAAUGUGGCUGCUAAAUGUUCUUCUCAUUUAUCUCUUAUUCCUGCCAUCACCAGCAUGGAGCAGUCAGGUAGUGCAGCAGACAACAUGGUUGCCAAGUUGAUUGGGGAAAUCGAGGAUUCAAGAAUAGCUGAAGGUAAUCCAUGUAUGGUUGAUUUCUAGCUGUCAAGCCUCUCCUAUACUCAAUCAUCAGAAAAAUUCAUGUCCAAAUUUCCUAUUAGUAAUUAGACCAUUACAACCUUUCACAGUUAUAAAUCAUUUGGAAAUUAAUAGCAUGCAUUAUAUUUAUCCAAAGUUAUAGAGAGGUUUACCCUAAUUAUAUUUAACUUUACAUUUGAAUCUAUGAAGUUGUGAUAUUUUUUCUACCAUUUUUAUGUAAGUAUAUAUAAGAAGCAUUGACAGAAGAACUGAAUCUUCUUAGAUAUAAGCAGCUUCAUUUAACAUACCCUUAUUUUUCAUAAGAUUAACUAUAAAUUCAACCUCAUAGUGCUCCAUUUGUUGGGUGAACUGUUACCCUUCAUUGAUUCAUGUCAAAUCACAAAAUGAUGUACCUUAAUGUUUUAUAAUCAAAUCAGGCAUGAACGAUAAACCAAAAGAAUAUUCAUGAUAGCCACCAUGCUCUUUACUGUCUGUAAUUUCUUGACAGACAAAAAAAGAAAAUGGUAACUAUAUUUGAAUCCCAGUAUAUUUUGCUUCCAUAUUACUAGCUAUUCAUGAAUUUUACUAUGACUGCAAUUCUUAUUAUGCAGGAGAUGACCCUGCUCUGAUUCUUUAUACGAGUGGUACAACUGGUAAACCAAAAGGUGUAGUGCACACAUACAAAAGCAUAAUUUCUCAGGUAAACAUCUGGAUCCUGCUUGCACUUUGACUAGUUAGGGACCCAAAUGUUUCCUCGUGCCUUUGUGUUUGUUCUGCUUCUUUGUGGUAUGCACAGCUUUCUGUAAUAUAGAAUUGGUAUGAAUUAGGCUUUUCUUGUUUCAGUGGAAUGAGAAUUGCGAAAGAUUGAAUGGUUUUACAGAUUGUGUGAAAAAAGAUUUGCCAUGUGAUGUUACCCCUGUUUUUGGCUUGCUUUCAGGUCCAAAUUCUGACAGAGGUAUGGGAAUAUACAUGUUCGGAUCGGCUUCUUCAUUGUCUACCCUUACACCAUAUCCACCAAGAAUGCAAUUUAAUUAGUUGAUGUAAGGCUAGGUACUUAAGUUUGUGAAGUAAUAAAUAUUAAAAUAUUUAUUGGAUUAUUGCAAUUAUUCAUUUUUUUUAAUGAGUUGAAAUCCUUAACCGCCGGUUUACAUGUGCAUGGUCUCUUUAAUGCCUUACUUGCACCUCUUUAUGCGGGAGCUGUGGUAAUUAAUCUGACUUUUUGAUAAAUAGUCUUUACAGAAUAACAUGGUUUUUUCCGUUAGAAGAUAAAUGUUGCUUGGAGAUUUAGUUCAUUGCAGUUGUUUGAACUAUCCUUUCUGGAUUUUCUGAUUUCUAUUAGUCAAACAUUUGUUGUGAAGUUACAUCAUAAAAAACAGUUCAGUACAUAGGUUUAAUCAGAUAAAGUUUUAUGAUGCAGUGUUUUCAUCUUUGAUGUCUAUGUUCUGCUGGUGUUUAUUGCAGGUUGAGUUCAUGCCAAAGUUUAGUGUUCAUGGUGUGUGGCAGAGGUGGCAGGAAUCAUACCCAAAAGAUGGAAGUAUAGCAGAUGAUGCUAUUACUUUGUUUACAGGAGUAAGCUCCCCAUUUUGCUAAUAAAUAAGAUUUCUGUUCCUAGAAUGCUGGAUGAAAUUCUUGCCUGUUUCCCUGCCUUAGUUACUGUUUGCUUCGACUAUUGAAAGUGUGAAACAAUCCUAAAUUAAGAGAUUAAGUCAUUUCUUAGUCGAUAAAGAAGGCCAAAACAUAAUGGGAAGUCAUAAAUGGACUGCCUUUAGAUGCAGUAAUCGCCCUAAUGCCACAACUGAUUACCUCUUAAAGAAUUUACUUAUAGUGGACCUUGUAUCCUGGUAAGGUUCACUGCAUAAAAGGUUUUCCCCAAAUGCUUGAGUUAUGAAAGAUAAUAUCAAAAGGUGGUCCUAUGGAAAUGAUGUAAUCUCUAAUAUGUGACCUGUGAGUUCCAUUAUAAUCUCUUUGAGUUUGCAUAUUUUACCAUUAAUGAAUUUUGGUGACUUUAUUUUAAAGAUAUAUUACCAACUCGAUGUUGAAUCAAUUUGAGAGUUUCUGUGUUUUUCUAGGUUCCAACGAUGUAUACUCGACUGCUACAAGGCUAUGAAAAAAUGGACCUAGAUCUACAAGUAGCUUCUGCUUCUGCUGCAAGUAAAUUACGUCUCAUGGUAACUGAAGUGCUCAUCCUCUCUUAACUUCUCAAAUGAUGUGCAUGUAUGAAGCUUGGCACAGUGUAGUUGUUUUAGUCUAUGUUAUUUAUAAUACUUGUUGCAUAUUGGGUGCCAGCAAAUUAUUACUGCUUUUAAGGAUUUAAGGCUAGAUUCAAAAUGCUAUUUAAGUAGCUUUAGUACUCUGUUCUAUAGGAUGUGGUUGUACUUCAAUGUAGUGACUGAUAAUUAGAUUGUACUAUUUAAUAUGUAAAAACAUAUGCUUACACAUGUAUAUAUGUAGUUCAAAAUAGGCAUAAAAUUUGAUGGAUUAUAAUAAGGAUUUUGCUAUGGCACACUUCUAAUCAUGGUUCAUGGUUCACCGUUCACCGUACCGGCCUGUACCAGACGGUACGAGGCCCAGUUCGGUACUGGUAUACAGUACGGGAGGCAUACUGAUAUUCGGUACGUCGAACAUGUCCGUUUUGUACCAUACUGAUACAGUGCUUGCGUGGCAUCGUAUAGGGUUCGGUACCGAGAUGGCAAAUCUUGCUUCUAAUAUAAUCAUUUGUACCAAAGGAGAGAUCUUAGCCAUUGAUGCAUCAAGGGUAGAAAAGUGAACUCAUCAGUAACCGGUUGACAACUACUUGCUCAUAUUUUUUUAUAAAAAAUUGAUAAUAAAAAAUUCUUCAAAGUUCAAACUAUCUUUUGUCUCUCUCUUUCGGUGAUAUCAUGGCUAUCAAGGAUUGCUAUACUGGAAUCGGGGUUCGGCGACAUGGGUCGGUACGCCGCUGUGCCAUUCUGUGCUGGGUCUGUACUGACAUAGUAGAGGAGGUGGGGGAGAGGGAGAACUAGAGAGAGGAAGAGAGAGAGAAGAGGGAGAGAGGGAGGGAGGGAGAAAGAGGGUGGCAGAUAUCUGACGGAGCUGGUGGAGGGCAGGGGAGCCGCACGAAGGGUGGAGGGGCUCCGCCUUUGGUUUUCUUGUUUCGUUGAAAACAGAGGUCCCGGAGGGCACCCGUUUUUAUUUUUGAAAAUUUUAAGCGAAUUUAGCAAACUCCUUGCCGACUUCACUUAGGAUUUUCAAAAAUAAAAGGGGCCUCCUCAAGGACCCCUGUUUCGAACGAAAUAGAGGAACCGGAGGAGGAGCCCCUUCGCGUGGUUCCCUAGCCCUCCAUCGGCCGGCCGCCGCCCUCCCUUUCCUACUCUCUUUUUUCCUCUCUUUUCUUUUUCUUCUCUUCCUCCGUCCCGAUUUCUCGUUUUUGUUGAACUAUAUUAGUCCGCCGUCGGUACGGCUCGGUACGCUUUAAAUCGGGCGGUUCGGGACGGUUCUGCUAACCAUGGUGGCUAUGGUCCCAUCGCCGCUCUAAGCAUGAUGAGGGUAGGGAGAUCCAACAUGAUCUCUGAUUUUUUUUUGGGGGGGGGGGUGAGGGAUUGUAAGUAGCUGUUGUCUGGAAUGGUUGGAUAGCUGCGGAGGGAGAUUGAUAGGUAACGUCCAUCAGUGGUGGUGGAGGAAGAGGAGAAGGUGCUGGAGAGGUCCUCGGUAUACUCUUCUAGCGCCUCCUCGUCAGCAUCAGCAGUGGCGAGGAGUGGAAGAUUUCUUCAAAGGAGGUGGCGGUGGUGGCCGAUGGCAAGGUGGGGAAGGGUUUGGAACAUGGUAUGCUGUACUAGCCCGAACCGGAUAAUACGGAGCGUACGGUACCGUACCGAUUCGAUACUAAUAUUUGGUAUGGAUAUCAUACCGUACCGAUACUAUGCUAAUGUAUACUUGUACGGGAUCCUGUACCGAGACGACAAACUUUGGUUUGGAAGAGAGUCCACGUGAGGGGAGCACCUGACAACAACUGAAAUUGGUGGUGAUUACGUAAUUGUACAUUUGACAAGGAGCCCUAUAGCAUUUCCCUUGUAAUAAAUACCUUAACUAUGACCAACAAGUCUUAUUCUAUCUAUUUGGAGUUAAGCUUUAGGGUCAAGUUGUGUUCCUCUGAAGUUUGAGAAUGCCAUGGUACAUUUGCAACCAGACUGAGUCUCUUGAUUGUGCUGUUUUCUUGGCAUAGGCAAGUUUGCUGGAAGGUUGGAUGGCAGAUCGGUAGCCUACCUUGCUAGUAAUGCUGCUUAAGCGUAUCCAUUUGGGAGCUAUGCUUUAAGGUUAGACUUGGAAAGAGUUAAAACAAAGAGAGAAGAUGCAUGGUUUGCUAUUGGAGUUUGCAUUCAUUUUUACAACACAAAUUUAUAAAUCAAAGAGCCAUAUUCCGUCAAACUAAAUGAAUAAUAAUCUAAACUUGUUUUAGUGAGCUUUCAAAGUUAAUGCUUUUAUUUUGAUUCAACUUACUAUAUUGUGACUAUCACGAAUAUUAAACAGUGUGUGAUUGCUUUAAUUAAAUAGUUCAAGAGGAAAAGUUCCUUUUUAUUUAAUUAUUUGUUAUUUAGUAAAGUUUAAUAUGAAACAACCAAAAUUAAGAGCUACUUUUAUCAUUAUUCUGUGUGUAGGUACAUAAAGGAACAGGCAAUAACCAGUUUUCAUUUUAUUUGAAUGGAAAUCCUUAAUUUUUGACAUACAAUCCUUGUUUUGGUUGUCUGAGGUUUGGUUUAUGGAUCAAAGUAUGACUCAUUACAGUGCAACUUCAUGGCACACAUCAAGAUUCCAAGAUUCCCCUAGAUUUGGAAAUACUAAAAUAGUUUAGACGGAGGAAGAAAGGCAAGGUAGGUUUUCCUUAUCUACCAACAGAAUUAUGCCUUUUCCUUCAAAAGUGCAAACAUAUAAUUGAAAUUGCCGAGUGCCGACUUUUCUCUAGGACUGUGUUGCUGAAGAAAGAAAGAAGAAAAAGGUUCUGUUCAAAUGGACUGGCAUAGAUCUUAACAUUGAUUAAUUCUUACACUAUUUUGUUCUUAUUUUCUUUUCUUUCUAAUUAUUAAAUGUUAGCUUCUAUUUUCUUCAAAGUAAGAUGGAGCUAACAAUAGAAUCUUAUGAUUGUAUUUUCUGGAACUAUAAGCAUGAGACAUCUGAAAAGUGACAGCUCUAAGAACCUUGAAACUCUUAAUCUGAAUGCUUACUCAAUUUGAGAUUGCUUCGACACCAUCUGAAUCUCUGUCUUGUAGAUCUUCUGUAGCUAUAUCAAAAUGCAGCAGUAAUUUUUCUUGAAAUUUCAGCUCUUUGAAUGUUCUGUCUUUUGACUUAAUUGGAAACAAACCUGUUGUCUUUUAACGAUAAAUGGAUAAAUUUCAUUAUUAAUGUAAGUAUUACACCCCCCACCCCCGCCUUUUUUUUCUAGAUGUGUGGGUCAUCAGCACUUCCAUAUCCAGUCCUGAAACAGUGGGAAGAAAUAACAGGUCAUCGUCUUUUGGAGCGUUAUGGCAUGACUGAGGUCAGUAUCAUUGGUUAUGUAAUCUGAAUUCAAAUUUUAACUAUUUGGCUAAGCUGUUGGAUGUACCAAGUUAACACAUAACACAUGCCUUAUCUUGUCCUACAUAUUUAAACUUUGGUCAUAUAUUCUUUACUGAUGACAUGAUGAUUUACAGUUUUUCAUGGCAUUAUCCAAUCCCUUGCAUGGUAUUCGGAAGGGAGGCACAGUUGGCAAAGCUCUUCCUCGAGUAGAGGUAUGUUGAUUACUUUCUGGGGCAUCUCUUAUUUCAGUUCUCAUUCAGAGGUCUUCAUCAUUACAGUUCACAAUUGCAGAUUUUUUGUUGUAUCAGCCAUGCUUUUUAUUUUGCUAACUUAAUGCUCUCAACUUUGAAAAAUUUUGAGCUUGUAAGUCUUGCAUGCAUGCAGUCAGGCNNNNNNNNNNNNNNNNNNNNNNNNNNNNNNNNNNNNNNNNNNNNNNNNNNNNNNNNNNNNNNNNNNNCCUGUCCCAGUCUGAUUAUCAAACCUAGAGCCGUUUGUGAGUUCUUUUAUGUCGACUGUGAAACCGACACCUUUGAUGUUGUAGUUGAAUCCUUUGUUGGUCAUUGACUUUUGGUGUCAUCUUGAUGUGAAGUAGUUAGAUCACGAAUUCACCCUGCUCUGUAACAUCCUUUAUGUAACUUCUUAAUACUCUUCCUCCCCCCCCCCCUCUUCCCCUGGUACAUUCUUUUGGUUAUACAGUCCCUUGUUUUUUCUUCACUCAGUAUUGUUUGCCACAUGUUUUCUGAAUAGUCAAUAAUAUGGGAUAAUUCCAGAUCUCUGUUUAUUAAUGUGCAGGUAUCUUUAGCUACAUGUAACAUGCUGAAUGGUUAUUGCAUGGAUUUCAAAUUAACUAUUUUUUCCACCGUUAUUAAAAUCUUAUUCCCUAUUGAAUCUUUCAGAUUCUAGAUAAUAUAUCUAAAACGCUCGGUGCUAUCUCCCUGGAUUUGUGCUCAGGUCAAGAUUAUUCCAGAAGAUGGGAGUGCAACUGGAACAACCGAAGUGGGUGAGCUUUGUGUUAGAAGUCCUUCACUGUUUAAGGAAUACUGGAAGCAGCCUAAGGUAUUUAGACACAUACAUGUAAUCCUUUAGUGUUGUAUUUAUGAAUAGGGACUUCCAGUAGCAGUACUGACACAAUGAAAAAAAAUGCUCAUGUGACUGUUGAAAGCCAAAUAAAAAUUGACAUCCCCUUACCAAGAAAAAACUAAUGAAUGUUCAUCCAGUUCAUAGAUUUAGAUUCCAUAGAUUACUUGUGCAAACUCAAAGAAAGAAUAGAAGAUUACAAUCUAUUAAGCUAUUCACGGACUACAAGAAAAUGGCACCAGAAGCUUCUUUCAAAAUUCUCUUGGCAAGCUCUUAAAGAUUGAUUCUACUUGAGCUUGAAGAGGAUGGAGGAAGGGUAGAUAAGAUAUCGUAAUGUAUGUUGUCGUAUCAUGUAGGUAUAUGACUAUAACUGUUCUUUCAACGAUCCCACUUAAUAUCUGGGGAUUGUGUUUCUUUCUCUUGGUUGUAUAGUAUUUAUUAGUUCCCUGCAGAUGUAUGCAAUUUUGUACGUUAAAACUCGUCUUGUUCCCUCAUGCCGAAAGCUUUCCAACUCCAGCCAAACUCAUUGAUAUAGUGCUGUCAGUUCCUCUCAGAUCCUUGUUUCAUGUGCCACUUGACAGUCAGUGAAAACAAACUUAUCAUACCUUCCAACAAAGUUCGUUACUCCUAGAUUCCUGCUACCAUUUAAGGUUGGAGUUCUAAGGUGUUGCCUGCAAUAGUGAUUUUUGUUUCACUGCCACACAACAGUUGCUCCGUAAGUUGCAAACUGCAAUAUAGGCCUGAGGUUGCGUACCUCUACUAGAUGACAGGAGUUUCUGAAUUUGAACUUUGGUCCUUUCCUGAAGUGUUUGAUCCAGGUAACUCUAAUUGGUCGUACUCCUAUGGUUAUUUAGAGAAAAAGGUUUGCAAAAUCUUGUGUUUUCUUGUAGUAAAACUCUUAUGUGGUCAUGUUAUGACAUUACAGAAAUCCUCUGUAAUUUUCUUUGUAUGAUUGCAACCUGUGGUUGUGAGCUAAUUCGAUGGGAUUAAGAAAUUCCAAACUCACAUAAGUUGGACUUGUUUUCAAAGAUGUGAUUUAGGCUUUGGAAUAAUAAGCAAUAGUUUUUUAGGGUUUUUUUUGCUAUUUUAUUCACUUUCUUUUUUGCCCUUUUGCCAUUUUUGGUUUUAGAUAACAAAGGAAUCAUUUAUUGAUGGUGGAUUUUUCAAGACUGGCGAUACAGUUAUGGUGGAUGAGGACGGAUACUAUAUAAUCUUGGGACGUAAGAAAAAUAUAUUCCCAUGUAUUUAACAUCAUUUUCAAUUUAUUGUUCUGCUUGUUUAUGGUUCACACUUCUGCUUGUGGCAGCAUGCCUAACAGAAUGGAAGAACAAGUAUGUUACAGAUUUGUAGCUGCAAUGUCCUAUAAAUCUUGCUUAGCAUUUCUAUUGAAAAAAAUCUGCAACACUAUUUUCCAGUAUAUCACUAUUGAUUUUUGUUUUUCAGAGGUGAUUACACUGUAAAGCUGAAUUCAAAAGCAUUCUAUCUGUGUUCUUGAAGCUUGGAAGAACCAUGUGACUCUUCCUUGUGGAUUAUCCAACAACAUGUUUUGUGCUUAAAAUUUAGAGAGUUUACACAAAAAUGCAUGAAAUUGUUAAAGCUUUAUGCAAAAUGAACCAAAAAAAAACAGUGUAGGUUAUUCAACCUGUGCUGUAAAUGCUUCAUAGGGCAUGGGGGGUUAGCGAUCUAGAUAGACUCUUUGAUGUAUCCCAAAGGGUAAUGGUUACAAGAACUCAAAUUACGAAGCUGGAAAGAGGAAAAGAUUGAUUUUCUGUUUCGUAUAAUCCAAUAUGAUGAUUCAUUUUUCUUUACUAAUCAAUAUUAUUUUUCCUUUUUUUGUUGUGAGAUAAAUCGACAAAAAAUAUGACUUCCAAUCGAUCAAAGUGUUAUCUUUCCUAAUCAAAAUGAUUCCUUACCUGCUAAGAUUUAAAAUCCUGCUUUUGAGGAGUUCUAAAACAUCUAGGAUUCUCUAAACACUUUCCUCACUGCAGCCUUUAAAUACACAAAAUAACUGAAAGUCUAACACAGCUUAUCUGUUCUUAAUCAUGUGAGGAUAGGUACUAAUGUUGCAUUAUUUUUUUCAAACUCUUUUAAUGGAUCUAAUCGUUUUUUAUUAUUCAGUUAAGUAAAUUCUAUACAGUCAUAUAUAUAAUCAUCAUAACUCGUGUGCAUUUUUUUUGGUUUGUGGGGUUGGUGGGGGGGAGGGGGAUGCUUGUGUUUACUGUGUAGCAGGUGUAAUGCAUUUGACUGUUGAAUUAUGGCAUUUGGACCUGCCUAUUUUCACACUUGGUAUUCCAUAGGGCAUUUGAGACCAUUCUUACUAAUUUGUUAGUAAUCAUUGCCUGGCAUAUGGACAUGAUCCAUCUUAGCAUUGUAAAUCCAGUUUCAAAAUUAUUCGAGUCAACGAGCAACAUAAGAUUGUUCUUAUUUAAAAUUUUUAAUGCAUCCAAAAGUGAGGAAACAGAAUACUUUUCUUAGUGUAUGGUAAUGGUGCAUGUUCUGCAUCAAGAAGGUAUAACAAGUGAUCGUUAUCAGAAACUCCCAAAUUGAUAAAAGCCUUGAGUUAGAAUUUUCCGAGGCAUUCUUCGAUGAAGCAUAUCAAAAGCUCUUUCUCCAUUUUUUUCCCUUGUUUUUUGGGCCGAAGCAGGGGUAUGACCCAUCUUGAUUCAGUCUUACAUAAGUACAUCCCACGUCAUCAGCCUGAACAAGUAAAGCUAGCUGAGGACUAUCAAUAUCAGUCCAUGUAAAAUCAGAGGCUCUCUAAAUGGCAUGGUCGGCCAGCUAGUCCGCCUCCUGGUUCCCUUUCUGGUAUUAGAAGCUUUUUUUAAUCAUAUGAUAGUGGUUCGAUCUUAUUCAUGAUUUGGAUGCUUCCAAACCAACUCAAACGUAUGUCCAGAUGUGGUUCAUAAUGUUUACAUGGUAAUCAGUGAUAAAUUUAUGAUUUUAAUUAAUAACCACAAAUUUUGGCACCAUGGCAUGGUUAUCAGAGUUAUAUUUUGGGAAUGAGGAAAUGUGUUUUUUUGAGAAUUUGAUUCGAUGAUAUGUUCUUGUGAUUCUUCAAAAGAUAUAUUACUAUAUUUUUUGUUAAGAUUCAAUUAGUUGAAUGUCAAAGUCUCAUAUUCUUCUACAGUAGAAAAUGAUAACAUCCACCUAUGGGUUUGUACUUCAUCAUUUGUAGGUACGAAUGCUGAUAUCAUGAAAGUUGGUGGUUAUAAGCUCUCAGCACUAGAGAUUGAAGCAGUGCUUUUAGAGGCAAGUACCUCCCAGUUUUGUACUCCAAAUCUUACUUCGAAAAGUAGCCAUUCAUAACAUUCACCCCAUAUUCCUUUCUGUCACAAAUUGUGCAAUAGAUGAUUUCUGUAAUUUACUUGCAGAAACUCUAUUAUAAUUGCAAUUGUUAGAUAUGAAUGAUUAUAGUCUUCUUGACUUUUAGCAUUGUCGAGCGUAACUGGAAAUUUUCAUGCUUGAUACGCUUGAAAGCAAACCAAGGUUUUCUGGAAAAGAUUCUUUUUUCAUUAUAUACUUGAAUAUGAGCAUUAUUAUGUUAUUUUGCAAAUUCAGGCUUGCAGAUCUGUUUAUGGUGGUUGAGAUGAAUGUUGAUUUUAAUCAAAUGCAUUAUAGUCUUCUUGGCUUUUAGCAUUGUCAAGUCUAACUGGAAAUUUUCAUGCUUGAUAUCUUCAAAAUCAAACUGGAGGUUUUCUGGAAAAGAUUCUUUUUUCAUUAUACUUAAAAAUGAGCAUUAUUAUGUUAUUUUGCAAGAUCAGGCUUGCAGAUCAGUUUACGGUGGUUGAGAUGGAAUGCCGAUUUUAACAAAAUGCAUCACAGAUAACUUGCUCUUAUCGAAGCAACAUACUUGCAAUGCAUUCAAUUGCAAAGAAAAAAAGAAUGCAUUUGAAAUGACAAUAACAUCUACGACUUGUGGAUAGGUAAUGAAAAGAAUUGGGUCAUACUGAAAUUGUCAGAGAUUACUUGAGCAGGCCCUCAAUAUGGUGACUUGACACAAUUAUGAUCAUUCUUGUGUAGCACGAGGUUGUCUCAGAGUGCUGCAUUCUGGGCUUACCUGACAAGGCCUAUGGUGAAGUUGUAUGCGCUAUAAUCGUGCCUCAGCCAGAUGCAAGGAGAAGGUCAGAGCAAGAACUGAAACCGGCUAUUAGCUUAGAGGAACUGCAGAAUUGGUCCAAGGAGAAACUAGCUCCAUACAAGGUUAUUCUUCAGAAUAUUUCUCAUAUCUAUAUGCAUCUCUUUGAUUUUGCACCUCUGUUAGUGCUGUGCAGUAAAUAAGGCCUUGCACAUAUAAGAUCCAUUUCUUAUUGGUGAAUAUUUAAUUGCAAUUUUCAGAUUCCAACAAAAUUGUUCUUAUGGGAUUCCCUUCCUCGAAAUGCCAUGGGAAAGGUGAGAUAUAUUCUGUCAGAUUCUUGAUUUCUACAUCUACAUAUCAAUUUUCCCUGCUGUCAAACUCACUGCAUUUUCUAUUUCAGGUGAACAAAAAGGCGCUGAAAAAAUUACUAGAAGGAUAGUGAUGAUGAUGUUUCUAGGGUCAUAGUCUGGAGGCUACAAUUUUGGUCAGAUAUGCUUGUAAAAGAAAUAUAGCUAUAAAUACAGUUAAAUAGUUAAUUGCCCAUCCGCUUGGUUUAACUUGAUAGGAAAAUCAUUUUUUUAUGAAGAAGAAAUUUAUAAUAAAAAAUUUUAUAAGCAAUGCCCUUUUUUUAUUGUACUUGCUUCAGUUCACUUAAGAAUAUCAAUUCAUUUCAAACUUAAGGUAACCAUUAGGAGGAUGGUUUUGCCUACCUUGCCAAAGUAUUAUGCACAAGCAAAGAAAGCUCGACAAAUAGACUGCAAUUUAUUGGAUAUGAUCAACCGUUUGGGGAACAAUGCAGUGACUACCAAUUGCAGUUCAAUGCGCACGCUGGCACAAGGCAUGCGCCAUCAACUACUGCUGGAUUUUAUCCGGUUGAUUCCAUUUUAAACUUAAGUUGUUGCAGAAAAAAAACAACCUAAAACUAAAAUACUUUUUCUUAGAGAGGCCGGAUCAUGGCUUUCACGCAAUCUCAAAGCAUUCUUUCCUCAAUCAUUCACUUAUCUGCACAGAUCUUAAAGUGCUCCAUCAUCUAUUAUUCAUCCGUCUGUAUGGAUCUUAAAGUGCUCUAUCCUCUAUCAUCCAUUCAUCUAUACAGUUCUUAAAGCACUCCAUCCUUUAUCAUCUAUCCAUUUGCACAUAUCUUAAAGUGAUCCAUCCUCUAUCAUUCAUCCGCUUGUAUAGAUCUCAAAGCACUUCGUUUUUCAUCCAUUCUCCUUCACAAAUCUCAAAACAUUCCAUCCUCUAUUAUCUAUCAGCUUGCACCUAAAGCAUGAUAUUACCCAUCAACUUGCAUAGAUCUUUUAUUUAUCUACCUACAUAGAUCUUAAAACGCUUCAUCUUCUAUUAUCCAUCGACUUACACAAAUCUCAAAGCGCUCCAUUCUCUCUCAUGCAUCCACCUAUAUAGAUCUCACUGUUCUAUUUUCUUGGUCAUUUAUCCACUUGCACAAAUACCGAAGCACUCAUCCUUUAUCAUCCAUCCAUCUGCAUAGAUCUCGAAGUGCCCAUCCUCUAUCGUCCAUCCACAUGCACAAACCUCAAUGUGCUCCAUCCUUGAUCAUUCAUCUACUUGCAUAGAUCUCAAAGUGUUCCAUUCUCUAUUUUCCAUCCGCUUGUAUAAAUCUCAAAGCACUAUUCUUUAUCAUUCAUCAAUAUGCACAAAUCUCAAAGCACUCCAUCCUCUGCCAUCCAUCCACCUGCAUAGAUCUCAAAGCGCUACAUCCUCUAUCAUUCAUCCAUGUGCAUAGAUAUUAAAGAACUUCAUCCUCCGUCAUCCAUUCACUAGCAUAGAUCUCAAAGCCAUCCACCCUCUGUCAUCCUUUUGCUUGCAUAAAUUUUAAAGUACUCUGUCAUCUAUUAUUUGUUUGGCUAGAUCUCAAAGCACUCCAUCCUUUAUCAUCCAUUCACCGGCACAGAUCACAAAGCCAACCAUCCUCUAUCAUCCUUCUGCAUGCACAUAUCUUAAAGAUCUCCAUACUCUGUCGUUUAUCUACCUACACAGAUCUCAAAACACUUGAUCUUCUGUCAUCCAUGCACCCGCACAGAUCUCAAAGCAUUCCACCUUUGUCAUCCAUCUGCUUGCAUAGAUUUCAAAGCACUCUAUCCUUUUUCAUCUACUUGCAUAGAUCUCAAAGCACUCCAUCUUCUAUCAUUCAUUCACCUGCAUAGAUCUCAAAGCACUCCAUCCUUUAUCGUUUGUUAGCCUGCAUAGAUCUCAAAGCACUCUAUCCCCAUAUGCCUGUACAAAUCUCAAAUCGCUCCAUUCUCUAUCAUUCAUCCAUUUGCAUAGAUUUCAAAGUACUCCAUCUUGUAUUAUUCAUCCACCUACAUGGAUCUCAAAGCACUCUCUUUCAAUUCAUGCCAAACUAAGAGCCGCUUGCUAAGUUAGUGGGAAAUGCAUUUUUAGAAUUUUAUAAAAGUUUAGUUAUCAGGUGACCCUUGUGAGAUAAUAUUUUGUAAUGGAGAUAGAUGGUUGGCUUAUCUUGCCAUAAAUUUGAUGUUUUGCUGGCUAAUUUACACAUUUUAAGCUUUUAGGGUCUAAGUGUAAAUGGCUCAAACUUGGAGGGGUGUCUCUUUAAUUUUUCUAAGUUUUUAGUGAUUAAUAGGUAAUUAAGUUUUUAGUGAUUAAUAGGUAAUUUUACUUCAACGUUACAAAUUGGAUGCAUCAAUUACUAUCAAUUUUACGUCACGUUAAUAAUAUAACGUCCAAUAAGGGACUUAAAAAUUAACAUAAAUUAAGGUGAAGUCGUCAAACAAUUGAUAGACUUUACAUAAAGUUUGCAACUUGCGGACCUCAGUCGGACAUUGGAGUUGGACGCCAUCGCGUGAACCCUAUCGCUUCCGACCUAUCAUAUUUGGUUAGUGUUAUAGUUACGGUUAGGGUUGUUCAUACUUUAUUGUGCCCCACAAGAAAGUCAAAACCACCAGAGAAGGUAUAAACAUAAACCAUUCAUAGAGACUUGACCAUUGCAGAAAAGUACAAAAAAACUUUUUUCUAUAUAUUUAUCAGAAAACAAUAGAAAAUUCAUUGAUAACAAAAAAAGAAAAGGUGCCACAGAAUGUCACAACCCAGGACCUCACCCAAAAAAGCUAGUUGGGAGGUAUUUUUUUUGGUUCCUUAGUCCUAUAUAAGUACUCAAGAUCAUUCCGGCGAAUAACCGAUGUACUACUAAACACACACUUGCAUGGGUCCUCACAUAUUUCUCCAGUUUAAGCUCUGACGUCCCUGAUCGGCAUAUGGUCAGUCUCAAUGAGCUCAUGCUGCAGUGUCCCCCAGUCCACAUGGGCCAUGGGCCGGAUCCGCUCUGAAACCAUUUGUAACAACCCAGGACCUCAUCCAAAUGGAUAGCCAAAAUGUAUUAUUUGGAUUCCUUAGUCCUGUAUAAGUACUCGAGAUCUUUUCGAUGAAUAACCGAUAUGGGACUAAACACAUAUCUCAUGGUUUUCACACACAAGAUAUGGAAAAGGGGCGAAAAGGCAAUGUAAUCCCCUUCUCAGUUGCCGAACCCCAUCUACGGUAGUGUCGAUGAGUCUUAAAAGCUGGCGGACACCUGCACUCGGUGCUCAUAUAGGCUUUUGCUCUCCCAUAAUGGAAACAGGCAGAAGACAAAGGAGUCUAGUUUUAGGUAUGGAUGGCAUGGGACAUAUUAGAAGAGAUCUAGAGUUACAGGAUCGAAUGAUGUCAAGAAUAGCAAGAGCCCAAGGAGGAGGAAAAUUUGGCUUCCACAUCUGUUUUUUUGCUGAUGAGCUAUUCGCAUUGGAGAUAAUGAUUCCCAAUCUUGUGCCUUUAUAGGCAAAUUCUCACCACAUAUUCUAGAACAGUUUGAACUCAUAUUAAUGAACCGAAGGUUCGCGACGAUGCAUCUUUUCUAUGUGAGAAAGGAAUCGCAUUCAUGGAUUUUGGUAGUGGGAUCUAUCCAUAGAACCAUGCAGAUUUGGUAGAUUCGGAUGCAAUCUUGAGCAUAUAUUGGCACCAUAUUUUGAUAGAUUUGCAUAGAUCUAUUUUUGGACAAGUGGAAACUUGUUUCAAUGCAUAUUAAUGAAUCGAAGGUUCGCGAAACAUGAUUUUUCUAUGCAAGAAAGGAAUUUCAUUUAUAGAUUUUUGUCGGAGGUACGGUUAUUUGAAAUCUCAUUAAUGAAUAUUGAAAGGUUCGUGAGAAUGCUUUUUUCUCCUUUGUGACAAAGGAAUGGCAUUUAUGCAGUUUGGUUUGAGGAUAGGUUGAUUCAGAUGACAAUCUUGAGCAUUUAUGAGCACUGCAUUUCGGCAGCUUUGCAUGGUUAACAGUGUAGGUAAUACUUCAUAUACUUGUGCUUUUAUAGUGAAGUCUCUCUGCAAAUUCUAGAUUGUUUGAUCGUGUAUGUGGCGAGUGAAUAGUUGUUUGAAUUCACGUUAAUGAAUUGAAGGUUCAAGAGAACACAUUUUUUCUACAUGACAAAAGAACUGCAUUUAUAGAUUUUGGUUGGUGGGAUUUUUAUUUGAAUUCUUAUUGAUGAAUGGCAGGUUCUCUCGGAUGUGUUUUUCUAUGUGAGAAAAGAAUUAUACAGGUAUAUUUGAGCUGGCCACGAGCUGAUCAUGUACAUUUAAAUCCUUAGCAUGGCAAAGACGCUAGAGCUUAAAUAGGGAAGUAUGUGAUGACUUAUAAUAAAUAGUAUCAGAGCGGAUCCGACCCAUAGCCUAUAUGGGCUAGUCUUUUUGGAAAAACCCAGUUUUUGUUUUGUUUCGAACUGUUUGCCCCGCGUAUCUGGGUCACAACUCCCCACGUAGUAGACUUGACUCUUGACAGCAGAGAAAGUUGGGCAGAUAGCAUUCCAACAGAGUUAAAGCUGAGAACAAGAAACCAUCAGAAACAAACUACACCCAACUACAUGUAGUAGGUGAAUUGAUUUAUCAUAAACAUGACAAGCCCCGUCCUCAUUGUUCUAAAAAAGCAGACCAUCACUGCACAACGGUCGACUCCCUGGAUGACCUAGAGAGCUGCUCUUCUUUCUUCUUCUUCAUCACCCUCCUCUUCCCUAAGCCUAUUCUUUCCCUCCUUGCCAUAAGCCCAACUGCAAACAAGAAAAUAUAAGAAAUCAAUUGCACCCAUGAGCGUAAGGACCCAAUAGUAGUAGUCAUAGUGGCCCCUGUUUAGGUUGGUUGCAAGCCACAUCCCCCUUCCAUUCCUUCCGGUUGUCCUAGUCACGAUCUUCACGACCAGAAGUCCUACCAGAUUGGAAAAUCCUGCCCCCAGUGUCCACAAAGCUACCCCAAAGCUUGCCAUGCUUCUAGGUAGCUCAGCGUAGUAGAACUCGAUCUGCGAGAUGACGCUGAAGGCCUCGGCCAAGCCGGAAAGGCAAUACUGCGGUAUGAGCCACAUUGCCGACAUGCGCACCACCCCAUUCAUGUCGUCCGCCAGCCCUUGCUCGAUUGCUUUUCUCCGCCGGACGGCCUCCACCAUUGCAGCCACCGCCAUUGAUGCAGUUGCUGCUAUUAUACCCAUCCCCAUUCGCUGCUUGAGAGUAAAUGCCCCCGGUUUCCUGGUAAUCUUCUUCAGCACCGGAACGAUGAAACGGUCGUAGCCGGCUGACCAUAUUGUCAGGGUGAGGAUUCCAAACACAGUGAAGGAGCCCGCAGGGAUUUCAAACUUUGAGGAGACGUGUCGAUCCAUUGUUUUCGCCUGCAGCACUGGGAAGCUCUGGUUGAGGACCAAUGGGAUCAUGAUCCCUGAUAACCAUAGGGGAAUCACCCUGAUCACUGACUUGAGACCCUCUACCUGCUCCACAGUGCACAGACUCCAUGGGCUUGAUGCUGAUCCACCAGGUUUUAAGUCCUCUAUUGGAUUUCGCAUAAUGCAUGCUUUGUUAAAGAACCUACAAAAACAAAAAAAAAAAAAUACCAAUGAACAGUACAAAAGGCUGGUAAAUGAAGUUUCUUAAUUAAUUAUGAUACAGCAUGCAAGUGAGGAACUAUUACUAUCGAGUUGUUUUCGAGAGCAAUAAUACUACCAAGUUGUGAUGACCUUACACUUCAAGAAGAGAGGUCCCAUGUUCAAACGUGGAGAGGUACAUCUCCAAGUGUUUGAGAUGAGUAACUCUUCCAUUGUGAGCUCCCACUUAGUAUUCACCCCACGAAGAAAUAAAUAAGUAGAUAAAGAUGAUGAUUUUGGUACCUCAACUUCUCUGAAGGAACCGUGAGUUUGGAGCCAGCCUCGUGAUAAUAACUUGCAUCUGCGGUCUUCGGGGGCAAGACUACACGCCAGUUCUUCACAGUAACGGCAGCCACUUGCACGAACCCGGCUAGCAGACUCUUUUGGCCCUCCACCUUGAUGUAGAGAGAAGAGGCCGCGGCGAAGAAGACUGCAGAUAACAGUAUGAGCACCAGCGGAACAGCGAAGCCUACCUUCCAUCCAAAAUUAUCUUGUAUGGCCACGACGGCAGUUGAUGCCACCAUGAACGAGAAGCCCACGGAUGCAUAAUACCAGUUGAAGUAGGUCUGCAAGAUCUUCUGCUUCUCAGGGCCGUUCAUCCGGCUGAACUGGUCUGCACCAAAGGCUAAAGAACAUGGCAUGAUGCCACCAUCUCCAAUGGCCAGGAAGGCAAAGGCGGAGAACAGGAGGGCAAGCUGGGAUGGGGUUGCGGACUGGCAAGCAAGGUCACAAGCAGGGGGCCUUGCUCCUGGCAGCAUUGCAGUCAGCCAAAUGAGAACAGUCCCCUUACAGAACAACAUGGAUAUAAUUAGUUGUAAAAUAGUAACUCAAUGAAAUGAUCAAGAAGGUAAAUAAGACCAAAGCGUUCCAAUUGCUUGAUGACAUGGCAAUCUCACAAAUUAAAAGGUUAAUCCAAAUGCAAGCUAGCUACUGAGGAGAACUCAAGGAUCAUCUUUGAAGGGGAAAGCAUAGAUGAUGAGAAAGAGAUGAGCAGAUAAAUUGAAGCAUAUGGAUGAUCUGGAUAAUUCAGAUGUAAUUUCUCAUCUGAUUCUGCAUCAUUAACUUCAGAAAUGGCACACAAGGACCCAAUGAAUUAGUAAAGAACACUUUCCUUGGAUUUUUCGUUUAGAGUACUUCAAAUUGCUGGGAAGAGAAUGCUGAAAGAUGUUACAAUACACACAUCAAGAUAGAGUACGAGUCCGAGUCAUCGCUAAAAUGCAAUCUUGACUUCAAACUGUUGAUCCUAUUGUUCAUCAUUUAACUGCUGGUUCUAUUUUCAAAACAUAGCUACAGUAUGUUAGAAUAUAAUUGGCUGCCAAAGGGCAGAAGGUUGCGGUUGCUCGCAGUGAAACAACUAAGUCAGAGGAGACCGAGCGCACACAAAGACUUCUAUGAUUCAGCAUCAUGCUUUUCUUAUAAUACGAGCAAGUAAACUACUUGGAGCUAGAUCGAGGGAACUGGUGGGCUGGAGUUUCUGAAGCAAAAUAUACAAGCAGAUUGGAGCAGGGUUAUGCAGAACAUGUUCCCACUGCAAAGUAUUGCUGAUUAAGGCUGCUGCCAUCCGAAAGAGUGGAUCCUUGGUCUAGUGGGUAAUGUUACUUCUGUUAAAGAGUCCUAAAGGCUUAAUUAUUUUUGUGGGGUCAAUAGACUUGCUACCAGUAUAUGAAGAAAUGGAUGACUUGCUUACAAGCAGGCAUGCGAAUGAUCCAAUCAGUAUCACUCGGAAGCGACCCAAGUAGGAAUCAGAUAGAAAAGCCCCAAGUAUGGGCAGGAAACUUGCACAUGCUCCACGUACGAACAGAACACUCUGCUCGGUUGCUGCAUUCAUGUGGUAUUCAUUUCUGAGGUAUAUCAUCAUAUUCAACAGAACUCCUUGGCCAGAGACUUUUUCAAAGACUUCAUUCGCUGCAAAAGAAGAGAUGGAUACAGUUAUCAUCAAUCGAACACAAUACUUUAUUUAGUUCUAGCAAAAUACCAUAAAAAUUUUAGCCUAGUGCUUUUUGUAGACUAGAUGAUUCAAGGAAGCAUAGAACAGCCCUGCAUAUUGAUUGAGUUGGUGAAGUCCCAGGACAUUGGAUGCCAGUGGCCUAGUUUCAAUUCCGUCCUUACCUCGAUUUCCCCCGGGAUUCUUCCCAUGCUACUUCUAUAAUAAUAGGACCUACUAGCUCAAUGACCAAAAUAGAUGAUUGAAAGCAAUCUAACCACAAGUUACAAAUCAACUGCACCCAUAUUUAUGCACCAGCACAAGAUCACAUCCAUGAACACAAGAAUCCAUGCAUAUUUUGGCCAAGUCCCAAAGCAAGGAAGGUGCUGAGAGCAGGAGUCCAUGCAUGCUGAUACUAAUGGAAAAGGAGGCAUAGGAGAGAUCAUCACCAAUGAUAAAUGGCAUCGUCUUGAGACCACCCUUCUCCCUUGUGUGCUGCUGGCUUUGUUCCUCCUGACCGUGAGAGACUUCCAUCUUUUCCUACAACCCAAUGUGUCGCAGGAAAAAAAUAAAUAAAUAAAGGAUCUCUGAGGAGUAGAACAAGAGGAACAGGUUCAUUGCAAUACAGCUUGCCACACCCUGGUAUUUAUUGUUAGCAUGUCUCCUGAUUUAGAAGACUUGAUGUGGCCCACUUGAUCAAGCUUAUCCCACAUCAAGAUAAACAUCGUUUAAAUAGUUACUUAAUCUAAUCUGAUAAAAAUUAUUUAGAAUUUAUCUUAUCUGAUAGUUUCUGUGAUGGAUGGAAAUUAAUUAGAGAUAAACCUUAAAUAUAUUGAUUCAAGUCCCUAAUCUAUAAAUCUUGAUGGAAACUAAUUAAAAAUAAAUUUUAAAGAUAUUGAUCCGGAUCCCUAAUCUAUGGAUCCAUCACUUUAAGGCACUCAAGUCCUGCAUAAAUUGGAAGCUCCGGAUCUUCUCUUCUUUCUUUUUUUCGCACGUCUCUUCCUCAUCGGGUGCUUAGUCUUCUUUUCUCUCUCAUGUGGUGCGUGCUAAUUUUAAAAAUGCUUAAUCAAGCAUGGCUCGAGAUUAGUAAAAUAUUAAUUAUACUUCAUUAAUUCUUUCGCUGUGCAAAAUGUUCUAUAUUGCAGUAUUAGAUCCUACCUCUGGCUCAUGAUGUUUUGCAUUGUAGAGAAGCCAUGUUAUUUAAACAUGUAUAAGAUUUUUGGCCAGCCGAUGUGGGAUUAAAAUUCUCACCCAUGUAAAAUAAUGAUUACCGUCUUCAUGCGAACACCUUAGGGGGUGUUUGGUAACCCCAACAGGAUCACCAUGGUGAUCUAAGAUCUUCAGUGAUUUGAAUGCUGGGGUGAUUUGAUCCCCAGUGAUCUAAGAUCAAUAUGUUUGGUAGGCCAUAGUCCAGUAAUUAAAAAUUUUUAGGUAUCCAUGAGUAACUUAUUUGGUAUGGUAUGGAGAUCUAAGAUCACUGAUCAUAUAAUACCACAAAUACCCCUAAUAUAUUUUAGAUGGAUUUUUUAUAUAUUUUUAAUUCUCAAGAAUAAAAAAUGUAAGUCAAUAAGCUAAUUCAUAUAAUAGCGCCAUAAUUUUGUCACAUAUUUUACUUCUAGUAGCUCUUAUCAUAUAUUUAUUAAUCAUAUAAAAUAUACUAUAAUAAAAUAUUAAUAUAUUUAUCAAUAUAUUAAUUAUUAAUAUAUUCAAUAAAAAUAUAUUUAUUAUUUCUAUAAAUCAUGAAUAAAAUAAAUAAAAAUAAUAUAUUAAAUAUUAUCAUUAUAUAAAUAUAAAAUAUAAUAAUAUAUUUCUAUUAUAAUUUAAAAUUAAUAACAUAUUAUAAUAUAGUAAAUAAUAUCAAUAUAAUAUCAUAUGUAUAUUAUGGACAUAAUAAUAUUGAUGGUUCAUUAACAAUUAACCCAAGACGGACUUCCGACCUCGAGCACGGUCAAGUUCGGUACCUGCACUCGCACCAGAAUCCACCUUUAAGAAAUCGCCUACGGGCUUUGUCCGCGCGACUUGCUUAAAAACAAAAUAAGCAUGCAUAGUUUUUGGUUUGGGCGAUGUGGGACUAAACCCAUGCUUUUCUUCCCACCGCCUUUUUUAAAGAAACAGAGGAGGCAGCCAUGGCCACUGCCGCCCAAGGCCGCCAUGGCCGCCGCCUCCCCGGCAGGCGCUGCGGCCCGCCGCCCCGGCGAGCCCGCAGAGGCUGCGACCAGGCGUGGCCGCCUUGGCCGACGCGGGCCGAGGGGAAAAAAGGGAGAGAGAAGGCCACGGCCGCCGCCGGCUCGCAGCGGCGAGGCGCCGUGGUCUCCUCCUCCUGGUGGCCGAAACGGCCGCUAGCCAGGCGCGGCCAUGCGUUUCCGACGGGCCGCGCCACCCUAAAAAAAAGAAAAAGGAGAUGAAGGGGGUCUUCUUCCCACCGUGUCGUCUUCCCGUCGGAGAGAGCGGCGCGGCACCGUGCGCUCACGCCGGCGGCCGCUCGUGGGAGGCCUCUCCGGCCGCAUGGGAGGAGGAGGGAGGAGGCGGCCGCCGCCGCCGGUUUGGCUCCCUCUUCUUCUCCCUCUUUGGAUCGGUUGGGGAAGAAGAUGAAGGACAAGAGGUUUCGGGUUCGGGCUUGAAACCCGAAACGCGAACCCAAAUCCGUUUGGCUAAAAAAAGGAAAGUUUUAUAGUUAAACCCUGCCCUAUGUUAAUUCAAAAAAAGGGGCUUCAGAAAUUUUUAUUUAAUUCCCAGAGGAAAUCUGAAUUACAUAAAGAUUCUUGAAUAUGUUUAAGAGAACCCUGAUAGUAUCUUAUUUACAAAAGGGUCUUCCGAAACUUACAAGUCCUCUAAUAUAUUACAUACAAGUCCUCUAAUAUAUUUAUUUGGUUCCCAUACUCAAAUUUCAUUACAAAACAGUACACUGAUAAUUAUGUAUUGCUUCUGUAAUGAAUUGUAUUGCGUAAAUAAUUAAUUUAGAUGCUUUCUUAUGAUGAAUCAUGAUUAUUUAAAUUGUUCCUAUUUUCAUGGUCAAGAGUAAUACAUGCAAAAGACAUAAAGAUAAUUAAAUUUUUGCAUAUUUGUGGUAACGAGCCAAAGCAUUCUAUAAAUUUUGAAUACUUUAAUUUAGUCAAUAAAAGAUCUUUUAUCACCAUCUCAUGAAAUUGAACACCUACAUCAUAUAUAAUGAUCCGGCCCCAAAGGAAAGCCAUUAUAUAAGGUUAAUGAUGGGAUAAAAUAAUGUUAUUAGUAUGAUAUUUAUGAUGAAAUCUUGUUGGAUAUCUAGUAAAAUUAUCCAUUGAAUAAUAGUGCCUAAGAAAAACUUGUCAAAAAGACAUACGUGCCUAGUGCUCCACCACCGAUUUGGAGCUGAUCCGGCUGUUAUUCUUUGGAUUUUUCAACUAGACAUCUAAAGUUCAUUAACUAUCUUACUUAAUGCAUUAGUUUUAUCAUAAAGGGGUAAAUCCUGUAGAGUUAUUACUUGGGAUAAUUAAGAUGAAUUAUAAUAAUUCAUAUAAAGUACUUAUUCCAUUAAAGCUUUAUUUUGAUACUGUUUUUAAAGAAAAUGUCAUGAUAAUUUGAGAGUAGCCACAUCAUCUUAAAUUAUUAUGAUGUGCAAUUUUGGAUCACGUUCAGAGUCAUGAGACAAAAUUAAGGAAUUAAAUGAUAUCUAAUAUUGCAAUUAAGUCUUAUUGUUUGAGAUAAUUAAAAUGAAUUAUAAUAAUUCAUAUAAAGUUUCUGCUAGGUGAUAAAAUUGGUUAAAUAAUUACUAAUAUUUAUUUUUAUUUAUUUAUUUAUUAGAUCAGAUUAUUUGCCACUCAUUCAUUAUUUUCUUUUUAUUUAUUUUAUUUAGUUAUUUAUUUAUUAUUUAUUUAUUGAAAUAUAUUUAUUUAUUANNNNNNNNNNNNNNNNNNNNUAAAUGAUAUCUAAUAUUGCAAUUAAGUCUUAUUGUUUGAGAUAAUUAAAAUGAAUUAUAAUAAUUCAUAUAAAGUUUCUGCUAGGUGAUAAAAUUGGUUAAAUAAUUACUAAUAUUUAUUUUUAUUUAUUUAUUUAUUAGAUCAGAUUAUUUGCCACUCAUUCAUUAUUUUCUUUUUUAUUUAUUUUAUUUAGUUAUUUAUUUAUUAUUUUAUUUUAUUGAAAUAUAUUUAUUUAUUAUCUUAUUUAUUUAUUUAUUCGUUCAUUCGUAUAUAUAUUUAUUUAUGCAUUUAUUUUUUUCUUUUCUUUUUUUCCUUUUCUUUUUUUCCUUCUCCUUUUUUUUUCCUUUUCUUUUUUUUCUUUCCUUUUCUUUUUUUCUUUUUUUUCUUUUCUUUUUUCUUCUCUGCUUCUCCUUCCUUCCUCUCUUCUCUUAUUUAUUUAUUUUUUUAUUUAAUUUAUUAUUUUAUUUCAUUAAAAUAUAUUUAUUUAUUAUCUUAUUUAUUUAUUUAUUUGUUUAUUUAUAUACAUAUUUAUUUAUGAAUUAUUUAUUUUUUUUCUUCUUUUUUCUUUUUCUUUUUUUUCCUCUUUUUUUUCUUUCCUUUUUUUCUUUUUUUUUCUUUUUUUUUCUUUUCUUUUUUCUUCUCUUCUUCUCCUUCCUUCCUCUCUUCCCUUCUUCUCCUUUCUUAUCCUCCUGCAAGGUCUGCGGCGCCGGAAGAAGGCGAGGCCGGGGCGGCCGUGGGAGGGGGCCUGGGCAUGGUCGGCGGCGGGCCGCGGCGCAGUGAAGCCCCACGACCGACCGCCAUGGGGGCUUCACUGCAGCUCGCCUUUCUGGUCCCACGGCUGGAACGUCGCGGUCCCGUAGAGGGCGGAGGCCCGGCCACCCCAGGCCGAGCCAGGUCGCUCCACAGGCCGGCCGCGUGCCACGGGUGGCAUCGCGACGACCUGCGGAGGGGUCGCUGGCCACAGGUGGUAGCUGGCGUGGUGGCUGCCACCGUGGGCAACCACGAGCUGCCUAAAAAGAGAGUAGAAGAAACAAAGGCGGCGACAUUGAGAGGAAGAAGAAGAUAGAGAGGGAGAGGGACUGAGGGAGGGGGAUGGGUAAGAGAGGAAGAGAUGGCGGGAUGAGAGUUUUGGGAGAAAAAAGUGAGAUUUAAAUGGGAGUAUUUUGGUCAAAAAAACAGUUUUCCGAUAAAGCUGAAACAGCGUUUUCGGAAAGUUCCAAAAUAGAACUUUUUAGAAAAGUUGAAACAGUUUUUCGAAAUUUUUACCAAACACUAUUUUUCAUCUAAAGUAUUUUUGGUGGGCUAGAAAGUACUUUUUAACUCUCGAAAAUGGGACCAGAAAGUCAUUUCCCCUCCAACCCCACGAUGGCUAAGGAAAUUAAUAGUUUGUCCCCUUCCGUCUCCUAUCCAUCACGGAGGUUGACCUGACCUCUCCAACACCAUCGAAAGAGCCCAGGUUUGUUUCUUGCUAUUCCUCCUUCCGUUUAUGUUUCUCUGCCUUCUAUCCUCCAUGCCUCCCCAUCCAUCCUCUUCGUAACCUUUUUCCCGUCUUCUCCUCCUCCUUCCAGUGCAUGCUUCUUCGUCCUCUUUUGCUCUCCCAAAAUUGUACAGGUCAGAGCAAACUCAUAAUUGCAUUCUGGUACAGGUCAUAAUAUGACUGAAAAGCUGUACAUAUUAAUAGUAUUAAUUUUUAGCACCACAGAGGAAAGCAAGAGUAAACAUUGUGACAGUGGUGGGGUUAUGAAACAAUUAAUUGUCGUAAUAAAGGAUGUUCUCAUAGGUUAGGGUAAUCCCAACUCUUUACUUUUUUUAAAAAAAAAAAGGAAAAUAUGUUCUCACGAGAUAAAUCGUGUUCAGCAUUUAAAAAAUUUGUUUGUUUUCCUGGGCUGGCUGUUUGGGGCUGGUGAAAGUGAAUGCACUUCAUUUAUCACACGGAGUCUUCAAACUUAUUCACCUUAUGGUUAACAAUUUUACUGUUGCUCCUAUCAUGAUCAUUUGAAGCUUUAGCAACCAGGGGUACAAACAAGUCAAACUGUUGGCAGGAUAACAUACCCAUGCAUUACAGCAGGCUUUUUUGUAGCUCGACAUAGUAAAAUUUUACGUAAAUUUGUUUCCUUGGAACAUAGUGUAAAACGAAACCAUAUUCGAUGAAAGAUUAUAUAUACCAGCAGUAUAGGAAUAUCAAAACCAAAUUAGAAAGGGUGCUAUUUGCAUUGCGGUUAAACGCUUUUCAUGUGGCUCCACAACAAAGAAAUGUAUUCCAAUAAAUUGAUUCAGAUAUUUCUACAUUCUUAUGAUUUUUCAUUCAUUAACUAUUAUGUCUUUAUUGCUACAUCCGCCAUUGAGCUCAAUAAAGAUGACUUUUGAUGUUAAUCAAAACAUGAACAAUAUUGGUUUUGCAAGUAGCUUAUUAUGAUUGGCAUGAAUAUUUUGAUUACCGAGUGUUUUAAGUCUGCUAUCUAAAAGAACAUAAUUACCUCCUCUUCAUCUCUUCUUCUUCUUCUUCUUCUUCUUCUUCUUCUUCUUCUUUUUUGGUGUUUCUUCCCAAAAAAACACCUCUCCUCUCCUAAGCUCUCCUCUCACCUUUCCUACCAUUUCUCGCCGGUAGAGACCUGGAGAUGAAAUUUUAUCCCCUAUCUUUACUGUGCGUCAAGAGUCGGCAAUAUUAAAUGCAGUGUUAAACUUGUUGCAUUCUUUCCACUUGUCAUUGAAUUUCCAUAGUCCUCUUCCUCCACCUAUCCUCUAUCGUCAUCUUCCUCCUUGUCGUUUGCAAUGCUUGAGGGAUGUGAUCGUCCUCAUUACCCUUGAUUUGUAGUUGAAGAAGCCUCUUGAGAUUGUCCUCAUCAACCUUGUUCUUUCCUAAAGACCCUCGACCAGGAUCAGCUAUGCCAUGCACUCAAGGCCCUCACCGACCUUACCAUUCUCAUGCUCGACAAGGAGGCCAGCAUCAUCCUUAACCACUGCAACCUACUUGCAGCUAUUGUUGGAUGGAAAGGAAAAGACAAUGAUGAGGGAGAAAUCUUUUUCCUAUAAGUUGGCUUCUAGUUUUGUUUCUCAAGAUUGGUUGGUGCGAUGUUCUGCUUUGGCUAUCUUAUUCUUGUAUUUUUUGGAGGUACAGACCUAGGCUUCUUCUUCAAGGGUGCUUCAUAUAUGUCACAUGAUCAUCACAGGAUAGAAUAGGGAACUUUAGGAAACAGAGAUAGACAACAGGACCAUAUUGCACCACUUAAAUAACUUCAAAGAUCGAAUUGAAAUUUUUCAAACUCGAAAAGUACCAAGUGAAAAAAACCCUAAGGAGGUGGUUCCAAUAAUUUUCCCUAUGCAAGAUCUACAAAAGGGAGUAGGAAAGCCCAAGAAAAAAUUUGUGAUGGAUAGGAAAUUGGAGGGGGCUAUAAUAAAACAAUUCCUAACCGGCUAUUUGCUUGGUUUGGAAGAAACAAAAAGGUAAGGAAGGGGUUUGCUAAGAAAAUAUCAAAAUACAAUGACAUAUCUAAUGUCUUCCCUUUUGACUUUCUUUUACCUAGGCAAGGUAGAUGACCUAUCUACCAGCAAAGAAAGUAAAAUAAGAACAGGAGAUAUAUCUAUUCCACUCUCCAAAUAAGCAUGCAUGCCAGCUUGUGGCUUAUGUCACUAAAAUGAAUGCUUUGAACCCAACAUAAAGGUCUGAUUUUUUUUGUUUUUCUUUGAGGAAAAUCAUAAAUGUCUGGUCAGAUGCAAAUGAAUCAAGUUAGGUUCAAUCCACAUAAAACCAGAACCAAAGCUGCUACGCAUCUAGGAUUGGAGUACAACCAAACAAAUUCUAAUCGAAAUUCUGAGUUAGAACUAGCUCCUCUUUUAUAAAGUAUUCUAUGUCCAAUUUAUUUUCUUUGGGUUUUUCCCUAAUUUCCACUCAGCUUCAACCACACAACUAAAAAUUCAGGAACAAUUAAAAAUGCAGGAAGCAAGAGAGAGAGAGAGAGAGAGAGAGAGAGAGNNNNNNNNNNNNNNNNNNNNNNNNNNNNNNNNNNNNNNNNNNNNNNNNNNNNNNNNNNNNNNNNNNNNNNNNNNNNNNNNNNNNNNNNNNNNNNNNNNNNNNNNNNNNNNNNNNNNNNNNNNNNNNNNNAGAGAGAGAGAGAGAGAGAGAGAGAGAGAGAGAGAGAGAGAGGUAACAAGCUUGCAAGGGCCGCUUGGAUCCACAAGGAGAUUCAUUGCAAGCUGCUAAUCCUAAAGCAUGGCCAGAAUGGAACUUACACAAGAGCCAAACCAAAAGCAUGCAAUUCAAAGGACAACGGACAACUCCCCGGACUUGGAGGGCAGCUCUUCCACCAAGUCGUCCUUUUCCCCGAAUCUAUUUUUGCCCUCCUCACCAUACGCCCAGCUACAAACAAAGAAGUAGAAAACAUUAACCACACUCAAUAGAGUAAGGAUCCAAUAGUAGUAGUCGUAGUGGCCCUCGUUUAGGUUGCUAUCAAGCCAGCCAACUCUUCCAUUCCCUGCACUGAUCUUUUUGACAAGCACCACGAUCAAAGCCCCCACCAGGUCCCCAACUCCCCACCCCAGCGAAAGCAGAGCCACCGCAAUACUGGCCAUGGUCUUAGGCAACUCAGAGUAGUAAAAUUCGAUCUGCCCGAUUAUAUUGAAAGCCUCGGAUAAGCCAGUCAGGCAGUACUGCGGCACCAGCCACAUCGCGGACAUGUCGAUCACCGCUUUCUCGUUAUCUGCCACCCCUUGCUCGAUUGCUCUUCUUCGCCGAGUGCGCUCGACGGUGGCUGCGACGGCUGUGGCGGCGCACGACAACACCAGCCCGAUCCCCAUCCGCUGCUUGAGGGUGAGACCGCGAGGCCUUCCGGUGAUAUUCGCCAGGCGAGGGACGAUCAGCCGGUCGUAAAUGGCCACCCAAAGCGUCAAGGUGGUGAUCCCGAACACGACGAAGGAACUUGCAGGGAUCUCAAACCUGGAGCUCAUGUGCCGGUCCAUGCUGUUUGCCUGCAGCGCCGGGAACGAAUGCUGGCUUAUGAUAACUGCUGCCAUGAUUCCGGUCGACCAAAUUGGCAUCACUCGCACCAUCGACUUGAGGUAUUCUACUUGCUCCACAGUGCACAGCUUCCACGGGUCUGCGGCGGCGCCGUCGGGGUUCAAGUCCUUUUCAGGAUUUCUGACGACGCAGGCUUUGUUCAGACACCUGAAAAAAAGUAUUUGAAUUCAAAUCUCGGGUCUAGUAGCAGUGUCAUGAGAUCGCAUGCAAGCUCGAGCUACAAUUCAUAAUGCUUAUACCUUAUAUUUUCAGUGGGAACCAUGAUUUUUGAACCCUUCUCACGAUGAUACCACCAAUCAUCAUCAGCCUCUGAUGGGAAGACUAGUUGCCUAUUUCUGACACUUGCGACGACCACUUGGGCAAGGCCGGUGAGCAUGCUCUUUCUACCCCUCACCUUGACGUAAAGAAAAUAACCAAGCAGGAAGCAGAUGAUAGAUAAUGCCAUGAGCACUACUGGAACACCGAAACCCACUCUCCAUCCCUUCUUAUCUUGUAUAUAGAUGAUGACGGUCACUGCGAUGAUAACGGAUACCCCGACUGAAGCAUAGUACCAGUUGAAGAAGGUCUGCAGGGUCCUCUCAUUCUGAGGGUUGUCCGGCCGGUUGAACUGGUCUGCGCCGAAGGCUAGGGAGCAUGGCCUGAUGCCGCCAGUUCCUACGGAGAUCAGGGCAAAAGCAGAGUAUAAGAGAGCGAGCUGCGAAUGGCUCGGGCUCUGGCACUUGUGGAGAGCAAGGUCACAAGCAGGGGGCUUUGCUCCAGGUAGCUCUGCUGUUAGCCAUAGGAGAACCAUCCCCUACCAAAAGAACAUGAGAAACUAAUGAAUGCUCUGAACUUGCUAUAAAAUUUUAUGAGAAGCGCAUUCAGACUCCGCUGGAGAGGAGGCCUACUGUCCGUAUUGUCGCAAAGCAUUAGAUAGGUAUACUCGUGAUAUAUAUUGAGAAUGUCCCAUUACUGAUCAAUUAUCACUUGUGAAUGAAAUCAAAAACGAAUGAACUCAAAGAUCACAUUAACAAGUGAAAUAUAAUUUACUUACAUUGAGGCAUGCAACUGAUCCAAUUGCUAUCACACGGAAGCGACCCAAGUAAGAAUCAGAAAGGAAAGCCCCAAAAAUGGGUAAGAAAUUUGUUACUGCUCCCCAUAUUAACAGAACAAUAGCGCUAGUUGCAGGGGUCAUGUGAUACUCUUUUGUGAGGUAGAUGGUCAUAUUCGCUGUAAGCCCAAUGCUCGCAACCCUCUCCAAGAUUUCAUUUGCUACAAAAGAAAGGUGCAGAGGAUUAUCAGCAAUUCAACACCUACACCUUCUACAUCUCCCCCUUUUCUCACGCAAACUAUACGAUACAAUCCUUUUGGAAACAUUAUAUGACAUAAUUACGCACUAUAUUGUAAUCAAGAUAGCGAUGGUAAUUAAACCACUCUCUUUUCAAGCAAAAAGACAUCGAGUUUGGCCACAGGACACAAUGAAUUACACUAGAAAUUCAUGUUUGCGUGUGCCUAUAAUCUUUUUUGCUUUUGAUUAAAACGAAAAAAUUUCGAGCUAACUCAAAGAGUGUACUAAGUAAUGAUACCAUUGAAAAGGCAUAUGAAAGAUCAUUACUCAUGAUAAAUGGGAUGGUCUUGAGACCGCCCUUCCUCUUGAGCUGUUGUUCGGACAUCUUCUCCUCGUCCAUGGUGAAUUCCAAUCUUUUCUUACAAGCAAAUUAAGGGUGCAGGAUGAUCUCCUUUUGAAAGAGAAGAGAAGAUGCUGAUCAGCAAAGUUCAAAGUUGGCAAAAUCUCCCACAUUGGCAAAAUCGUCACUCCCAUAUGAAUGGAGACAGAAAGAAAAAUACCAUUGCCGUCUUCAUCAGUUUCAUAAAAUGGUAUUUACUUUAUAUAUUUAUUUUUUUGAUAAGUUUUCCUUAAAAAUGAUUUUUGCAAUUAUUCAUUAAUAAUGAUAAUUGUACUAACGAGCAAAUUAAUGCCAUUAUUUAUUCGAACCGCUGCUCUUUAAAAUAUGAUCUUUCAACUGAUAAGAAAAUUUAAAUUAAAAAUAUGAUAUUAAUUAAAUGAGUAAUGAAAAUGCUAAACAAUCAUCUUCAUGCCAUUGGUCUUAAUAUAUAUAUAUAUUCGCGAUUAACUAUAAAAUUAAGAUUGUAAACAUCAUUAAUUCAGUUUAGAUGAACAAUGAAAAUAAUAAACAAUGAUCAAAUGUUAUGUAACAUUUAGGCACACUGGAAUAGAGUGACGGCUAAAAAAUGACCAAUACGUAACUAUUGACGUGGACAUUCAAAGGGACUUAAUUGUCAACAGCCUUCCUGAUGCUAUCAAAUGAUGUGACCCGGGCUCUCGCUGACACAGACUUUUUGGAUGUACCUGCAUCCGUCGAUCGGUCGUUCCAGAUCCCUGGACGGCUAACGUGCCGACCAACGUGAGCUUAGCGUAGCUUCUCUUAGUUGGUUGCUGCGCUUUUUGUACUUCUGUUUUUGUCUGUGGAAGCAAUAUGAAGUUACGGAAAUAGGAUUUGGUGAAGGGGUAAAUUUGAUUGGCUCAAUUAUGCGAAAUAUUUUGAUUGAGAAUAUUUUUAUUUGCAAAUUACUUGAAACUUCCAGGCAAUGAAUGUUUUUGCUUGUUGGUCUAGAUGAAGUUCUUUCCCCCACUGCUUCUUCUUAUGAGCAUCAAUAUUUUAUGUCUUGAUUAUCAAAUACUUGGUUUGGAGCCAUUUAGAUUCUUUUUCUCGCAUAUGUUUCUCUUCUUCCUUGACAAUGUAACUCAUCUAUGUUGUAAAUAUGAUUAAUCUAAAUAAAAACCGGAUGGAUCUUUUUUCCUCCUUUUACAUCAAAAAAAAGAGAGAAUAUCUUUACUUUAGCCGACUUCAUAGAAAUGUGCGGGUUUGUUAGAUCAUACAUAUGAAUCAAGGUAUAUCAUGUUUGUGCAUCAAAGUUGAUAGGAUUGUCACCUUCUUUUUCCCUCAAUAAGUGUUAGAAAUAUUCACACAAACUAUAUUAUUUACCAUGGAGAAAGUGCACAAGAAAUGUAAUUAUAUCAAUCUUAAUAUUAUCAUUAAGUGAUCCACCAUCCCAUUGUAGCUUUGGAGUUCCCUAGACCAAAGUCAAUUUUGAACAGAUGUGCUGAACAUGUCAAAGUCACUUACACCAAAACAAACACUUGGAACUGCAUAAUUCUGGAUGAAGUGUAAUUCAGGCUUCGAACGUCCAUGGAAACAAAGCAACAAAAAUAUGAAAAAGCUUACUUAUUGAUAUAUUUUUUUUAAAAAAAAAUACUAAUGAAUAGGCACUUACAAUGCAAGUUUCUUUUGUUUUCCCCUAAAAGAAGUACAUAUAUAAAUUAUGUUCCAUGUUAUUUAUUUUUCUAUAUAGUACGAAUUGUGUUAUAUACAAACCAUAAACAAAAACGAAGAACAAGGCUAUGUUUCUUGAUCCCAAAAUAAUAAUCAUGAAUUUCUUUAUAAAAAACUUAUCGAUUUUGAAAGCUAAGAUAUUUUUUAGAAGAUAUUUGUUUGUUAAAAAUAAGAACUUAGAUAAUGCAGGGUGUACAUGAUAGGUUUCGAGCAAUCAAUUAUGUUCUUUUUUUUUCCCUUUUUCUUAAAAGAAAAGAAAGACAAUAGGUACUACUUUAUGAUUUGCUUGAAUAUCCUUUUUUUUUCUUUUCUUUCCUUUAGAAUAAUUGCGGGUAUGCCAUCGAUCAUAUCACAUAAAUGAUUGAAGAAUAUUUUCAAACACUUGGGAAAACACCUCCUAGAGUUCAUCUUGCAACCUCCCAAUGGCAGAGGCCGGCUGCAACCUCUGGGCUAUAACCAUGCAUGUUCACAUAUGGUAAGUCUAAUUCUAUAGACAACAGAUCUGUGAGUUCUUCAUUGCAUGAUGCUUGCUCACACUAUGCAAUUCACAAACUAUUAAUCAAGCUCUGUAUGAAUAUAAAAUAAUACCAAUACUAACAGUGGCCUACCUUUCCUGCUAUCGCUUCAAAUUAAGCAAAUUCAGUGGCAUGCUUGCUACAAAUCAAAGAGAUGAUUGGACUCCUUUCUUGAUUCAGAGAGGUGUGAAACCAUCUCCUGAUGCUUACAUAGCCAGAAUUACACAUACAACAUAGUGUAAGGAAGAGGGUGAAGAAACCAGCCUUUCUGAAUCAUUGAAGUAUAAUUAAGAACCCUGCCAUCCUGAUUUAAAUUAAGUCGAUCGAUGCUCUUCAUUUAGGUGCAUAUAUAGCAUCAAGAGCAAUCGACCUUUGGGUUGGCAGAGCGACCACUCAUGAUAGAAUAUCCACUCAUUAAGCCCGAGCAUGCUGCGGACUCGGCGCAGUCGAUCGAGAACCCCCCACCAAAAGCAGGAGGAGCCCAGUAAUCCGCUCCAUUGUCGCCGCCAACAUGCAAAGUGAAGGAUACUGGAACCAGGCACAAUCCUCUACUCUUCAAGUCCUUUGGUUCAUCAUCAGCAUCCUGAUGCCACAGAUGAUGCAACAAAAAUUUAACAUCUUAAUUUGGUAUCGACGACCAUGGCAAAGAUAUCAUUAACAUGCAAUCAUGGCCAUUGAUUGAUAGAGAAAAAGCUACUUUACAGCUACUCAAUGGUACCUGAUCAGCUGCUCCUCUUCUCUUAAUACAGGUGUCGUGUAACAACUGCUGAAGGGAACAUAGGAAAGAGGGAUUAGGAAUGUAAAGUUGAAAGUUUGUUCCUUCAACACCUUUUGCUGUAAAGAAAGCAGAACACAAAGGGCUGUCAAGUGUAAGGCUAAGUCUGUUUUUUAAGUUGGUCAUGGAUUCAAUGAAGAUUACCUGGCGAGGGUCUUCUGGAAAGAAUUAAUGGCACUUAGAAUGGCAUAAAACAAGUAAGUUCACUUCAGAGCUCAUAAGGAGGAGCUUGACAUGGGCAUGACCUCUUUUUUUAUAUAUAUUUUUGAUGCAAAAGAUGGGGAGACCCAUCAUGCAUGUGUAAACUUUGUAGGAUCAGAGAAAAAAUAGCUUCUUAGCUUCAGUUGGUGAUCCUAGAUGCAUAGAUGUCUGAGAGAGAGAGGGGGGGGAUGGGGCAGGGUAGCAUUGGGAACAGGGAACGAGAAGGGAUGGUGUUUAUAGUUACUUACAGACUCCCUCGUGCUCCUUGUUCCACCACCGAAGUACGGGGAGCUCAGAGCCUGCAUGAAAGGAAGGGAUAAGAAGUGGGUAAGGAGUGCCGUCUCCGAAGCACAAGACGAUACAAGACACCAAUAACUAGAAGUAGAAGAUGAUACAGUAAACAACACUGUUGAGUGUUGGGAAUGUUGCAACUUUAUGCGUGCUCUUAGACAUUCUCAAAACGAUAUCUGUUCCAUUUCAGUUCACACAAUCGCACACGGCACGUACGCACGCACUCACGCGCGUGCACUCACCCAGAGAGAGAGAGAGAGAGAGAGAGAGAGAGANNNNNNNNNNNNNNNNNNNNGAGAGAGAGAGAGGGACCUCAAUUUGACUCUGGAGGAAUCUGAUAUAGCCAAUGGCUUCUAGUAGUACGGAUGCAGUGUCAGUCUGCAAAAAGAGCCAUGUCAGAUCUUUAUUGGAACACCAAAAGAAAAGAGAAUAGGAAAGAAAUAAUUAUAUAAGAUAUGGGAAAGGAAUGAAAAAUUGUUAAUCUAGGUGGUGGUGUUAUCAAGAAGAUCUAAAAUGCCUGUAUCUAUGGGCAAAUGGGAAUACCUUCCCGAAUGGAGAAACUAGCUGAUGAAGAGCUGUGAUCCUAUCUCCUAACUUCUCCUUCCUCACCUGAAAUAAACAAGUGCGAGCCCUUUUAAGUUCAUGAUCUGAAUUGCUAAUUAUAUCGACACCAUAAAGUGGUAUGAGCAUGACACCAGAAAAAGUAGCACACUGUUCAGUGAGAGAGAGAGAGAGAGAGCAUGAAGGAAUAGAUAAAAACCUUGAAAGGUGAUUGUGGUGAGGAGUCUUGAACUCUGGCCUUCUUGAAGGCUGCACCAGUUGUGCUGUUGCACUUGAGAAAGGCAGAAGAAAGAAGGGUGAGGACCCAUCUGUGGAUCUCUGAGAAUCCUACUAAGGAUAACAAUCAACGCACAAGAGAGCAUAAAGUUCCACAAUGAUAGCACUGCAGUCUUACCUAGACAUAUAGCAUAGCCAUUUCUUGAGGAUUAUAUAAAUAUAUAUAGAUACACACAUAGAUAUAUAGAUAAUAGCAUAACCCCAAAUCAAAGGCUAUAUAUCUAUAAGUAAACAUAUAUAAAAUCAGCCCAAUUUCAGUAUGUAUGCAGCCACAAGGCAGCCUCUAAUGCAGCAACACAUAAAACAAUGGCAUGUUCUGAUGAAAAUAAAACAAAGAAAUUGAGCACAAUGAACAGAGAUAACACUGUAAUAAGCAUUUAUUAAAGAAUUAGUAACGAUAUAUAAUUAGCAAAAAAUAAGGAAGUCUUAAGGAAACAUAUGUGAAUUUUCCCCCCUUACCUCGGAUGAAUUCUCUGGUUGGAGAUGCUUUCUUUCUGCCUUGCUGUUUGAGAAGUCCAACACGUUGCUGCUGAAGCUUGUGGCACAAGAACUAGGAGAGGAAGUUGGCAGGACCUGGCUCCAAGGAGACUUAGCUGCCUGAAUCUCCUCACUCCCAUGGCUGUACUCAUAUCCACUCCCAGAGAUCUCUUGUUUUACAUCAACCAUAUGUGUACUUGAUGAUGGGUAUAACAACUGAUCCUCCCAAUUCUCCAUCCUCUUACCUGGGAAAGGAGUGAAGCUGCAACUGUCUUCCUCCUUCAAUACUCCCCUGUAAUUUGUCCAUCAAUUUACUCUAUAUAAGUAACCCGCAGAAGCUAUGUAUCCAGAUAGUAGCAGAAGAUUUGGAGGCAAAAUGAACGAAGAAAAUGAGACAGAGAGAGAGAGAGAGAAUUUUUAAGUUUUGUGAACACUAAGAAAGUUAGUAUACAUAAACCUUGUGAAACCGAAUUAAGUGUUUUCUGAAUUCUCUUUUUUCCCUAUCAGCAUACCAUGUAAAAUUACAUAAAUAUAUACAUGAGUUAACUUGAGCAAUAGAUGGAAUAGUCUUGAUUGAAUUUUCUUUUACAGGAUUUUUUUCUAAAAAAUUACACAAUUAAAGGACAGGAGUUUGGGAGAGAGGGAAGGAUGGGGGAGUGGUUGGUGGGUGGGUGGAUAUUGUUUGUGUGUGUGUGUGUGAUGGAUAGAUAGAUAGAUAGAUAGAUAGAGAGAGAGAGAGAGAGAGAGAGAGAGAGAGAGAGAGAGAGAGAGCAGCAGUUGGCUCCAUGACUCAGGAAGUUCUUGGUUAUCAUGCCACGGGGUCACGGGGAGAAAAUUAGAUGGUUGUGAGUUUAGAGGAAACACCGAAGAAGAUGAUGAUGAGGAGGAGGAGGAGGAGGAGGAGGAGGUGGUGGGGAAAGAGGGUAAAAGAAGAGAGGUCUGUAGAGGAGGUGGCCUCAGGUUACUCAUGUUCCACCAGCUAGGGGUUCCCCCACAUCAUCUGCUGCACUAGAGAGCUCUGAAAAACUCCUCCAUGUUCAGCAAAAAAAAACUCCUCUAUUCAUGACUGAAACUUUGGAAGUCUUUAGAUCUCAAUCCUCUUUCGGCACUUUUCUGCCACUUCUUCCAAGUCAAUGUAUGGAGGCUUUACUUCUUUUGCUUCUUUAGAUGAGUUUUGGGAGAAGAAGGAACAGGCUUUUUGUGGAGAGGAACCUGGUUACAUGGGACGGGGAAGCCUUUUGUUUUAUGUCUCAACCUCUGCUUUCUUUAAUAUUUUUUCCUCGCUAUCCUUUUUCUUUUCUCUGCUUUUUUUUUUUAUCUCUGCUUUUGCUUUAUGACAAAGUGGAAAGAAGAGACGGGAAAGGUCGUGGCAGUGUUUUCGGCCAAAAGGAAUGCUAUUUUUUUUCAUGAGACGGAAGAAUGAUUCUUUCCUACUGCCAAUACAUUCAACGAAAUCAAAAAAUACAAUAUUUCAAAGAGAAGAUGGAACAUCCAAAAAAAAACUCCGAAUAUUCAGCCACAUAAAAAAUAACCCAGUCUACAAUAUUAUUAUUUUUUUUGCUGAAAAGUCUACAAUAUUAUUCACCUCUCAAUAGAUAUAUAUGGUCGUUGUUUGUCUCAUGAUCCACCCAAUCAUAAAAAAUAUUUGUUUAGAAACUAGGGUUAGCUUAGUGUUGGAGAUAGCAAUAUUUUUGCUCUUCUUUAAUUAUUUCUAUGAGGACCCAUGCGGGCAUGUAUUUAGUCCCACAUUAAUUAUUCGUUGGGUAGAUUUUAGGUAUUUAUACAUGAUCAAGAAAUUCAAAUAAUACCUUCUCACUAGCCAUUUUAGGUGAGGUCUUAGGUUGUAAGAAAUAGUAUCAGAGCGGACUCGAUCCAUAACCUAUGUAGAUUAGGGGACACUGUAGCACAGAUCCAUUAGGACUGACUACGGGCCGAUCGUAGUGUUUGUGAUUAGAUUUGAAUUGAUUUGAACUCUUAGCCUAACGAGGACGUCAGAGCUUACAAGGGGGAAGUAUGUGAGAACCCGUGCAGUCGUGUGUUUAGUCCCACAUCGGUUAUUUGCUGAAUAGAUCUUGAGUACUUAUACAGGAUCAAGGAACCCAAAUAUACCUUCCAACUAGUCAUUUUGGGUAAGGUUCUGGAUUGUUACAAUUUCAAUUGAUGAAAAAGGAAUUUAGAAACGACAAGGUCUGAGGCCACACUGGAACAAAUAAAUAAGGUAUCACAUAGUAUUAUACAACAGAGCAUAAUAAAAAUAUAAUAUAUAUUAAUACAUAAAUAUAUGAUAGAGUAUAAUAUUACUAUAAUGUAAUAUAAUAUUAUUAUAAUAUAGUAAUAUAAUAUUGUAUACUAUAGUAUAAUAAUAUAACAUAAUUUGAUAUUAUAUAACAUAACAUAUCAAUAUAUUAUGAUAUAAUGUAAUAUAAUAUUAUAUUAAUAGUAUAAUACAAUAAUAAAAGUAUGAAAUAUUAUAAUUAUUAUCAUUAUAUAUUAAUAUUUUAUUAAUAUAAUAUUUUUAGGAGCUAAGUUUUGGAUUUUCAUUUUCUUUGUUGGGACUCCUGCAGAUUUCUGUAGUACAAAGGGAUAUUUUCUGUAAUUAUAAUAUUUUAUCAUGGGUAUUUUGGUCCAAAAAAAUUUUAUAACUAAAAGUGCUUUUCUGAAGAAGUUCCAUUUUGGAGCUUCUCCAAAGAAGCUAUUUUAGCUUUCUGCCAAAGCUAAAAUACCUUUCCAUUGUUUUAUCAAAAAUCUCUAUUCCAUUCAAAAAUACUUUUGGACGGUCAGAAAGUGCUUUCUGGCCCACCAAAAGCUUUGUCAAAUAGGGCUUAAGCCUGUUAUGUAAAAAGGUAGAGAUCAGGCAAAAACAAAAUCUAUAACUAAGAGUGUAUAUAUUUAUAUUCUGGCUCAUGCUGUAACAAUGCUCAAUUCGAUAGUUAUGAACAAGAUAAAUGGGAUUAUGUCUUAACAGGCUCUACAGGCUCUGGAAAUUGAACCCGAGAAAUGGCAUUUUUAGGUAGCUUAUGGACUGCAGAAGAAAAAGUAUGAGAAUGGCAAAGAAAACUAUCAGAAACGCUAAAUGAAAGUAUGAUGCAGUGUUCUCCUUUUUCACUUUCAUUGUCCUUACUCCUUGGGCUUGAAUAAAAGUUACAUCCCUGCAGUGCUGCUCCUUACACACCAUAUUCAUGCACUCAUUUGCAUGAAUAAGUACUCCUGUAGGUACUCUCUAGCACUCUAUCAACAAAUAAAGAAAUGUUAUAUACGAAUUGCACCUUAUAUUCUCUCAGAAAGAGGUUUUACCCCUCAUAAGACACAAUUCUUUCAGCAAUAAUUUCAUGUUGGCAAGGACCAUGUACCAUUGCAACCAUAGGUUUCCGCCUCAAGUGGAAGUCGUAGGUAGUUUUGUUCAGGACCAUCUAACUAUGUCAGACAAUUAAUGUUUCUUUUUAUUUGAGAAGAAAAAGCCUAAUGGCUGAGGCCCAUAUUACUUAUCAGAAUUUAUUAGAAAUGUUGAAGGGAAAGAGAGCGAUUGUUUAAUAGAUUUAACCAGAUCAUCGCACAAGGGGCACCCACCCAAGUAGAUACCAAUUUUGUUUCAGAGAUUUUCUCUUGUAUUGAGUUUAUUGAGAAGACGAAGCCAAAGGCAACACUUACUGUUAAGGGGAUUCUGAUUUUUCAGGCUAGUUCUCAUUUGAUGCCCUUGGUAUUAAGUAAGUGAUACAUUGUUACAACCCAGGACCUCAUCCAAAAAGGCUAGCCGAAAGGUAUUAUUUAGAUUUCUUGAUCCAAUAUAAGUAUCCAAAAUCCAUCCAACGAAUAACUGAUGUGAGACUAAAUACACGUCCGCACGGAUCAUCACAUACUUCCUCCAUUUAAGCCCCGGCAUCCCUAAUAAUUCAAAUUCAUUCAAAUUUAAUCACAAACACCAUGAUCAGGUCGUAGUUAGCUCAAACAUACCCGUGCUGCAUUAUACUCUAGUCCACAUAGGCCAUAGCCGGGUCCGUUCGGAUAUCAUUUGUCACAACCUAAGACCUUACCCAAAAAAGCUAGCCGGAAAGUAUUAUUUGGAUUCCUUGAUCCAAUAUAAGUACUCAAGAUAUACCCAACAAAUAACCAAUGUCAGACUAAACAUACACCCGCACGGGUCAUCACAUAGAUAGAAGUAGUGAAAUCAUCCAAAGGAGUCAAUUGCCAAUGGAUGCUGUCCAAGUUGUUUCCAACCUGAAAACUAUUCAAAACGACAUGGAGAUAAAUGAGAAUGGUCUCUGAAAUUCCAAGAAUUAGACUUCCUAGAAUAAAAUUUGGACACAGUUCUAGAUUUUAGAUGGCAGGCCUGAAAGUGGUUAGGAAAAGUAACACAAAGAGGAGCAUCAGGGAUUCAGGCAUCUUUCCAAAAGGGCACAUUUAAUCCAUUUCCAAGGACAAACUUAAUUCUGUUCCGAAAAGGUGGAAGGCCACUGAUUACAUCUUUCCAAAUACUGAAGCAUAUGUAUUCAGGUAUCCAAGAAGCUGAGAUCUUGACUUUUUUUGAAGUAGAAGCAGUUGAUGGGGUGUUUCCAAGGCUCAUGAUAAUUAAUGUCAGUAGAUUAACUAUGAAGCACGCCAAGGCCUUGUCAUCAACAAAAGCUUCAUCUUAGUUAUAGUAGCAUGAUAUUGGUAGAUGUUCUCAUGCAGUCAUAUAUUGUAGAGGAUUCAGACAUAGGUAAUGCCGUUAAAUGACAGAUUGCAGUUUGAUUUUUUAUGUCCUAGAAUCCCAACAACUCAUGAUAAGUUAUAUCACUUAUCGAUUAAUUACUAAAUGGAAAAAACCCUUCUUAUAACAUUGGCAUCACCUAUGAAUGAGUUCCAAGGAAAUUUGUGCUGCUGACCACUCUGUCAAAGUUAGAAAGAAUAAAUCACUAGUGAAUUAAAAGAAUAAACUCAGAGAAAAAAAAAUCUUAUUCAACAACCAAAAAUUUAUGACUAUGAGGCCACAUCGCAUUCGUAUAUAUUUAGUUUGAUAUAUAUAAAGUCUUAAUUAUAUAAAAAGGAAGAUAAUUUUGUACAGUCUAAAUGGUGGGAAAUAACGGUCCAUAGUCCAUGGUACUAUGAGAAGUUCACUGUUUCUAGGAUGGCUAAUCUGAUUUCUCUGUUCUUCUCCAGUGGUAGCUUAUUGCAUCUUUUUUAUAUGCCUUCUUAAAGCAAACACUUUCUCUUUUUUUUUUGAUUUUUCAAAAUUACAUUAUUAUCAUAUUUUGAAACAUGUAAGUGCUUGCACUAUGCUCAGAAUUUCCAUAUUCUCUCUCUUUCCAUUACAAGCACAUAAAGUUAGCAAGUCAUACUUUUGACCAUAAGCUACACUUUCCAUGAGUUGGAAUAGAUCAAAUAUGAAGCUUUGAAAGUAUUCUCACUUUGGCCAACCCUUGAUUUUGAGGUUCAUGCUACAACCAACAUACAUAUUAGUAAGUCGAAAAACAAGUUCAGCAAUGGCAUAGACUUUUCGAUGAGAUAGGGCAAUUAUAACGACUACUGAUCUAAAAAUUAUUUUUCAAUCAAAAUAUUAAAAAAUUAAGAACUGAAAUAUCCACUAAAAAAUAACUUGAUCGUUUUGAGAAAACGAUUUAAAUUACUUAAAAUUUGAUAUCAAACAUUAUUGUCACACUUUUGAUUCAAUAGCAUAAGCCAAGGGAUGUGGUAAUUCUCUGCACACACAUAGAGCUUAUCCCCACGAGCAUGCAAAGCCACAACCUGCCAGUAUAAUAAUUGUAAACCAUCCAAGAUAAAACCACUAUGCCAUAAGCUAAAUAUUAAAACAAAUCUACUACUGACCAAUAAAACAACUAAUUCUCCAUGAUUUAACAAGUUGUACAAAAUAACAGUCUUAAGAGGAGGUUCCAAAAGCAAAAGCGAAAGCAGUGGGGUUGGGUCCUCACAAGGUUCAUGAGUCUCUCUCUAAACUCACACUCCAAGCACCACCUGCCAGCUCUUUAGUCUUGACUCUUGACUCUAAAAAAAAGAGAUAAACAAUGAGUUCACAACCUAGUAAGUAACUAUAUAUAAUCAGAGGGAUCAAUUAAGUAGGUACAACAGAAACUUUUAACAAACUAUAAAUGCAUAACAUAAAAUAAUUUAGUUAACAAAGAUAAGAUUUAUACAAUCAAUAUUUCACAAAUAUUUCCAAAGAGAAAUAUAUAUAUAGGCCAUUUUCCCAAAAUACAUAUUUCAUAUUCAACUAUUUUAAAUAAGUGAUUUAUAAAGCAUUUUCCAAAAAAAAAAUUUAUAAGCCAUUAUCUAAAAAAAAACAGUUUCUUCACCUACCCCUGGCUGUGUCAGUUAGUGUUAUAUCAGCUAUGUGCAAUAAUUAGGUCGCUUAUAUUUCUAUGUUAGAGAAAUACAUAUAAGUAUCCUAGCCCUCCUACCUUAAGCAAAAUUAGGUUUAGGGCCACUAUGAGGCUGAGGUCUAUACAUGGCAGAGUAUUAUAUUCAUAAUUGGAGUAUGACAAGUUUCAAGAGGACCGUUAUGCACAUCAUCACUCCAACCACAAAGCCUCAAAAGUCUAUCAACUAUUACAUUCAUCCUGGCAGCAAAAAUAGGUUCAAAACCUACCAUGCACCGUUCGAGAAUUUUUUUUCAAAAAAAAAAAAAAACUGAGAAAGCCAUCCAAGAGAGGAUGACCCUUUAAUUGAUGUAUAAGUAUUUGAAUAUAUCAGUCUUCCAGAACCAUGCCAUUUCAUCCGACAUGUUUCGGCACUAUACUCUUAUCUAAUGAAAAUGAAUCUCUUAGUUAUCUCAUGCAUGUUGGCUAAUACUAAUCAUUCUGAUGAUGGAUUUGAUGUGUUCUAUGGUUUUAAAAGUCUAUCCUCAAAAAAUAAUUGUAGAACUCAAAACCAAGGUCUAAUAAUUGACUGUAGGUGAACAAGGAACAUCAUGGUAGAAAUUGCUAUUUUUAUACUAAUAAGCGAGCAUAACAACUACAAGGGCACAACUUUAGUCACAAAUCCCCUUAGCUUUUUGUACCCAUGGGCCCAUAAACAAAGCGCCGAAGGGUCGAUCCAGAAGUGCGUUAUGAGAGAGGACCAAGAUUCUUUUGGGAGUGAGUGUUUUGGGUCCAUGCACCGCUUAAAAUCUUCGCCACCAACAACUCUUAUCCUCUCUUUUUUUUUCAACCCCUUUUUACUGCAACUCCUUCCAGCCUAAAGACGCCCUCUCCCUUGUCUUCUUCUGCGACUGUCAUAUUCCACACCAUAUUAUGUAGCACUUGUCUCUCUCUCUCUCUCCACCUCGAUCCCCUUUCCCAGUUACUUUGAGAAUUAAAAAUGAAUGCAGGACUCAUAGUUUGCGAGGCUCCAUACAGAUAUAUAUUUAGUUCCAUAUCGAUUAUUCGCUGAGUAGAUCUUAGGUACUUAUAUAUGACUAAAAAAUUUUAAAAAAUAUUUUACGGUUAGCCAUUAUAGAUGAAAUUCUGAGUUGUUAUAAAUAGCAUCAGAACAUAUCCGGUUCAUAAUGUAGACUGGAGGAUACUGCGGCACAGAUUCAUUAGGACUUAUCACAGACCGAUCGUGGCGGCUGAGUAGAUCUUAGAUACUUCUGACUAGCUAUUUUGAGUGGGAUCCUGGAAUGUUAUACGGUUAUUUCAUUAAAUCAAACAUUACUCAUUUCUUGCCUUCCUCCGUUGCUCUCCUCUUUUCUUUUCGUCAUGCAAACAUUACUCAUUUCUUUCCUUCCUCCUUUGCUCUCCUCUUUUCUUUUCCUUAUUCCCUUUGCUCUCUAUGCUGUGACUACUAAUUAGCAUAUUCGAUCGGACGAUACCAUGAAGCAGAGUUCCUUUUCCUUUUAUUUUUCCUUUGCUAGUUGCUACCAGUCUCCAAGCUAGGCUCCUCACCUUUGCCUUGGCUUUCGCUUUGUUUUUUUCCUUUUCUUCCUUUACUUUCUAAUGUCUUUUCUCUCAAAAGCCUCUCGAUUAUUGAAAGGGAUUCUGAUCACUCUUUAGCAAGGAGUCUUUCCUUUUCUUUAUAUAUGGGGCUAAAAGCCAGCACGUAGACAGGGAAGGACUGAAGGAGUGAUCGGCACCAAAGCCCAAAGGUAUCAAGUAUGGUAAACUAUUCCCCAAGUCAUGGUAAAAAAUUCGUAGGAAUCACUGCUGAGAUUACUUCUGACCACCAACACAAAUCCCUGGAUGCUCGUGACCUACUGAUAUGCGAGACCGUGAAGUCCUGACAUGUUUUCAAGCAUCACGUUAUAUAGCAAAACUAGAAAAUCAAAUGGUUAGUUCUUAUUCAUUUCUAGAAACUAGCACUGCCAACUUUCUGCAAAGAAGAGCAUAAUGCCAUCUUUUUCACCGUUCAUUGCUUGCUUGCUCAUUAGGUUCCUCAAAUUACAAUAUAUCUAUAUCUAUAUAAAUAUAUAGAUAUAGAUAUAAUGGCUCCUCUACAAGCUUCUUCGCUUUAUAAACCACCAUCAGUAGUUCCUGCAAAAACCCUACUUAGCCCUACCGAUACCAUGGUGCGUGGUCUCUUUUCUCAAGCAUUAGUACAGCCACAAAGGAUGUGGGUUUGCAUAAUUAUUUUAUAUGCAAGAAAAGUUAGCUGAAUCCUCAAAGAUUUUAUUGGUAGAGUAGUUUGACCAAACACUUAGGAUUUAUUGUAAAUUAUCAUUUCUCCAUGUCCUUGCAAGAGAGCCCCACACUAUGCCCUCAACUCUAUGGAAGGCAAAUAACCUAGAAAUUUGUAUGGACCUGGAAAACUUGAAGCAACAAUUAUGGAGUUUGUUGUCCUAGUAGUCAUUCAUCUAAUGUAUGUAAUGUGGAUUCUUAUGUGCAUUCACAUGCAAAACUUCUGGUAGAUACCUAAACCUUUUGCAACUUGGGCAAUUAUAGCCAAUUAUGGCUGUACCUACCGACAUGCUGCGCGAAAGUAAAUUUCACUAGCUUAACUUAAUUAUUUGCUUUUUUGUCUGGCUCAUAUGGUAAUCGAAACAAUCGGUAUCAAUAUCAAGCAAGCAUGAUGCACUAGGGAACAAUUGAGCAGUUACAACCACUAUAAUUUCGACUUUUUCACUAGAUUUGUAAUUUUGUUUUCGAAGACAAGCAAUAUAAUAUAAUAUGAGUAAUGGUAUGAUGAAACACACUAACAAACCAUUAAUCCAUAUAAUUAGUAACCAAGGGCCACUGUGUGCACAACAAGCCCAGACAGAAACAGUGUUAAGCAAAAAUCAUCAGCAAUGUUGACUUCUGAAGUUUAGUCUGAUAGUAGAAUAAAGCACAAGAAUGUAAACACAAAAAACUCUUUAUCCAACACAAGCUCUCCAAAUGGUCUAGAAAGAAUCAUAAGAGUUUUGUGUGUGGGCGCGCGCGCGCAUAAACUUAAAGCAUUAAAUUGACAAACAUAUGGCUUUUAGAUUGUUGUGAUUUUUUUCUUUUCUUUCUUUUCCUUCUUUUCUGAAAAGCAGAGUUUUGCUGAAGUAAAGUAUUUUUUUUUUUUGGAUGUAAUCAGAAGACUGAAGGAUCGGUGAGCCUGCCUUUCUUCUUUGGUUGGUCAGUUUGCUGGUUUGGUUGUAGUGCUUGUCCAUGUACUCUAAUGACAAAAUUGCGAGUUAUAUAUCCGACAGUUUAACAUUGAUGGAGAUGGUAGUUGUUGUCAAGCUUUCCAAGAAAAUUGAUUGUUUAUCUGUCAGCAAUAAUACAUGGUUUGCGUUGCAACCUUCUUUAAUUACGCCUUCAUGUUUUCCACUAAUCUAACUAAUAAUGAACUCUCUAUCUCUAUCUCUAUCUCUAUCUCUGUCUUUCUGCCUGUGAGUGGCGCCCACAUGCCCCUCCCCACCAAAUUUGUUUCUUGAUUAAGAUAAAUGAUUCUAUCAGACAAAUGGAUAAAUGGUCUUCUUUUCCUCACCCUUAAUCUCAUGUUCAUGUUCUCCAACCUCCUCCAUCUUUGAGCUCUUAAGAUUCUCUUAAUCUCAAAUCGAUGACCGUAUUCAUCUUCUUCCCCUUAUAAUUCCUAAUUCCUCCCCCUUCUCACCGCAAUGAAAUCAAUCUCCUCUACCAUUCAAGUAAAUGAACUUUUCUACCCUUCUAUCACAAUAAAUUUCACUUUCACCAUCAAGUGCAUGGCUAAAUUAACUUGCAAUUCAAGUUCCUGUCCUCCAUGCCUAGUCUUCUAUUAGCCUAAACCAACAAAAGUUAAUGUGUUUGUGAGGACCCGUGUGGGCGUGUGUUUAGUCCCACAUCGGUUAUUUGCUGGGUAGAUCUUGGGNNNNNNNNNNNNNNNNNNNNNNNNNNNNNNNNNNNNNNNNNNNNNNNNNNNNNNNNNNNNNNNNNNNNNNNNNNNNNNNNNNNNNNNNNNNNNNNNNNNNNNNNNNNNNNNNNNNNNNNNNNNNNNNNNNNNNNNNNNNUCCUGGGUUGUUACAGUGUUAAUAUCAAGUUUAAACCAUGCAAUAUUAUAGUACUCCUGCGGUGCAUUUAUCAUGUCCAAACUAGGGAAAUGCUUAUAAGCACAAACCCAUAUUAUUAAGCAAGAGUAUUGCCAUUCAGGACCAGUCUGAGUUUGUCAAGGUGAUUCACAUGAGUUGUUGCAAUUCGCAAGGAGGUAAUGGAUAUUAUGUCUCUUUAAUCCACGUUCGUAAGAGCAUAAGGACUAACUAACAAUCAUAUUUCUAAUAGAAGAAUCCACCCAAGAUUAAGGUCACUGCAUUAUUUACUUAAUAAACUUGGGAUUUCUUGAUGUGCUUCUCCACAUCAAGUAUGGUAGUCAUGCGAUUCGUCAUUCGAGUAUAUUAGAACUUUAGCUAUUUUUCGAUGUCUAACAGGCUAGGCUCAUAAAACCUAACUAGAAUGCUUCUCUUCUAAGCAUGUCAAGGGUCCCCAUACUUGUGUUCCACAUUAGGACCACGUGAAAAUAUAAUCAAUUAAAAAGCUAAUUAGCUAAAGAGAGGACAUCCUUUUUUUGAUUUUUAAAAGGUUAUCGGAUGGGUGCAUGUUCUUUCUUAGAGAAAAUUGACUGAUGCACCUAAGAAAGCGACGUAGGUAAUGGAUUCAGCAACAUCUUUUAUGAAAACUUCAACAAAAUUUAGUAUGCCAACCAAAAAUUAAGAUGAACAAGGAGCAUACAAGGCAAUAACAACCUGAGUUCAUCUUUUCUGUGAAGUAGGUUACAUUAGAAAUCUGCAUGCUAAUGUCUAUCAUAUCAAGAAUGGUGUUUCAUUUUAUUAACGCAUUUUUAAAAAAAAAGAUAUCUCAAUUUUUUUCAUUAUUUUCUUCGUAAAUAUAUCUGAUAAUGAUAACUAUAAUAGUGAAUAUUUUGAGUACAAAUAAACUCGAUUAGGCUAGAUUGGAUAGAUAAGAUCCAUUACCUUUACUGAAAUAAUAGUUUAAGAGAUGAUCCCUCUUAGUGAUAUAUAUGGACGUAGCUAAAAUUUGAGACCUCGUUGUGAGCUGAAUCUUUUUUUUUUCUUUUUACUGAAGCGAAUGUCUUAUACAUGUUGGAUACGAAAUCACUCAAAAACAGUAAAAAAAUAACAAGUUUUGGAAUAUAUCAUAUAAUUCUUUCUUCUCCCGGGAUCUUUUCAAAAGAGUUAGCCAUAUGAGAGCUGACUCUUUUUUGCUAAAAGAAAAAGAAAAGAAAUAAAAAGACAGGGUAGUGCGGAGGGUCAGCCACCCGUGUCGCCACACGUGCAAAAAGGAAGUGAGAGAGCGCAAAAAGCCGGAGAGGCGAGAGGAAUGAAUUAAAAGAUAAUAAUAAAGGAAAAAGAGAAGUUCAAAAAAAGGAGAAAAAAAAAGAAAAGAAAAGAAGGGAUUCCAAUUGGAGGGAGUUGUGGGGCCCGGAGCCCUGGCCGUUUGCAAGAGAGGAACGGUGCAAUGCAGGUGGCCCUCCAGCCGUUUGCAUGAGAGGAACGGUGCAAUGUAAGUGGCCCUCCAUAGAGUAGCCGACCAGUGCGUGGUUCCUGCACCCAAAGACUAGCACGAGUCCAUUCUAUCGUUCCAUUGCACCAUUACUUGUAGACACUUAUUUACCUAUAUUAUAUAUGAUCUUAUACAGCCCAGAAAAAAAAAAAUUGUGACCGUAUGAUACUUAUUCUUACGUGCAAGCUAAUUUUGUUGCAUGCAUCAUGCAUGCGUCGUUCUGAGUCAUCCAUGUCACAGUUUAUUCUUAUCUUCCAUGGGCAUGGACAUGGACACGUAGGAAUGGUGGUUCCAUAUUGUAUUGUACUCUGUGUGCGUGUGUGCGUGUGUGCGUGUGUGUGUGUGUGUGUGAGAGAGAGAGAGAGAGAGAGAGAGGAUCAAAGCACUACUUUUAUCCUUAGUAGGCAUAACUGCUUUCUAGAUCGAGAAAAUGCGAAACAAGAAUCAGUUAUGCCUACUAAGGAUAAAAGUAGUGCUUUGAUCCUAGGGUCAUUGUACCCUAGCAUUUCACCGAUGCUCAUAAACAUAUGUCAGUCUUUUUCUCUAUUUUUUUCAAUUUUAUGAGUAAAUUAAAAUAUUAAAAUAAAAGAUAAAUUGUGCUUUUAAUCUUCCAAAUUUCACUAAUAUCUCUAAAUGACCCUUAUAGUUUAAAAUUUUCUAAUUAGAUCUAUCAAUUUUCAAGUGUGAUUUAAUGUGGUCCUUCCAGCCAAUUCCGACCAAUUUCCAACAUCGGUAAAUUGCAUAUGAUGCACACGUAAUGUUAUUUUCCUUACCGGCACUAAUUUUAGCAUACAUAUGAUAAUAUAUUAUAAUAAAUGAAAUAAUAGUUUUAAUGAUGUGGUAUAUAAAUUGUGAGGACCCGUGCAGGCAUGUAUUUAGUCCUCCAUUGGUUAUUCGCCCAGAAUAUCUUGGGUACUUAUACGGGACUAAGAAAUCCAAGUAAGAUCUUUCGGCUAGCUAUUUUGAGUAAGGUCCUGAAUUGUUAUAUAAAUGAUGAUGUGACAUGCACCCAAUGCAUAUUUAGUAGAAUUUUCCGUUCAAAAUUGUCCGUCAGCACCCGUAUGCCACAUUAUCACCCACAUAGCAUAAAUUAUGUUUUUGGCUUCUUCAAGUUUCACAAAUAUUUUUAAAUAGUCCUUGUAAUUUAAAAACCUUUGAUUUAGUCUCUCGAUUUUCAGCAUAUGGGUAAUGAUAUGGCAAAAUUGAAAAUUUUUGUUAAAUUUUUCUAUGGUACUUUGAAGGGCAUUUUAUUUUUUUUAUUGCUGCCCUAUCUCUAGCCUUCCAAUUCAACAUGGACGGCUUAUAGGGUGGCAGGUCCAGUAAUUAUUUCAAAGUUUAGUUUUUUUUUGGGGGACCUUUUUCCCUCCUCAGCAAACUUGGGAAUCUUCUAGGGUCUGGCCCCUCGCCGGCAUUGCCGCUCCUCACCAUCAUUGCUGCCGGCAUGACAAGAGAUAGAGAGAAGAGGAGGAAGGUUGUGUGAUUGCAAGUUUGACCGGGAGGCAAAUAUGUUUUUGAUCCUUCAAGUUUCACAAAAAAUUUUAAAUAGUCCUUAUAGUUUAAGAACCUCUGAUUAAGUCCUUCGAUUUUUGGCAUAUGGGUAAUGAUGGGGCAGAAUGGAAAAUUUUUGUUGAGUUUUGCCAUGGUGCUUCGAGGGCCAUUUUGGUCUUUUUACCACUGCCCUAUCCCUAACCAUCCAAUUCAAGGUGGAUGACUUGGAAUUAAAAAAAGGUGGCAGGUCUAGUAAUUAUCUCAAAGUUUAGGUACUUUUGCAAUGGACCUUUCUCCCUCAUCGGCCUCGAACUUAGGGUUCUUCUAGGGUUAGAACCCCUCGCCGACGUCAUCGCUGCUCAUCAUGCAUGGCCACCACCGAUGGGAUCAUAAGAGAUAGAGAGAGGAGGAGGAGGAAGACUAUGCCACUGCAAUCUCGAUCGGGAGAAGGCGACAAUGGGUUCAACGGCAGAGGAAGGGCGAGAGCUCGUCGGAGCCGACGUAGCACCACGGCAAAAGCAGAUUGGAGGGAGAAGGACCGCACGCGGAGGAGGAGGGCUUUGGUCAUCACCAGGGGGCUCGAUGGUCGCCAAGGGAAGGGGAGGGGAGCCUUGGUCGUCGCCGAGGUAGAGGAGGAGAAGGAGGAGGAGGGAGGAGCAGCUCGGUCAUCUCUGAGGAUGGAGGAGGAGGGGGCUAGGCAUCGAAGAUAGGGAAGAAGUCGAGGAGGAGGAGAAGAAGAAGGGGAGAAGGCACUACAAACGUGGAAGACAUCGAGGAGGAGGAGGAGGAGGAGGAGGAGGAGGAGGGAGCUGGCUUGUCGUCUCUGCAGACAGAGAAGAGGCCGAGGAGGAGUAGGAGGUGGUGGAGGAGGAGGACCGGGGGGAUUGGGUGUGCUGCUGGAAACUGGGCCCGGGGGUGACUGCAGCCCAAAGAGGAGGAGCUCUCGCAGGGGAUGCGGCAAUGGGCUACACUCUCCGGAGGACCUGCAAGAAGCCGGUGGCCGGAGGUUUCGGCAUUGGCCCUCAAAUGCUUAAGUUAGAGAGGUUUUUUGUGGAGAAAAGAGAGAAUGCGUGAGAGAAAAAUCCUCCUCUCUUAAAAGGAAGAAUCCCCUUUUAUAAGAGGGAUGCAAGUAUUACCUGUAACUGGACGUGACUGUAAGAAUUAAUGAGUUACCGUAAUGAUUUGACGUAAUCGUGUGAAUUAAUGAGUUACCGUGAAUGGCCCGAGAUUUUGGGCUGGCUGGAGGUCCGUUGAGAUCGUGCGCAUUUAAUCGUUGACAGUCGCUGGGGCGGAAAUUUCGGGAUUGGAUUCCGGAUGAGGAGGAGAAGGAUUUGAUUUCGGAGUAGAGGGGUCUGCUUCAUCCUUUGACUGGGUCUCUGUUGGGGCUUAAGGUCGAUCGGACUCAGCUUAAUUUAAGACUAAGGCUGUAAGGCUGCGAGCUCUGAGGUCGGGCAUCUCGAGGUCGGGCACUUUGAAGUCGAGCGCCUUGAGGUCGGGCACCCUGAGGAUUGUUGUCGUUGCACUCGUCAUCACGUGCCGGCGAUAUAUCCACAUUUUUUGGGUAAUCCAUUUUUCUCCUAACAGGGUCAUCAGUGGGUCCUUCCAGAAUUGGACGACUACAAUGCCCUACGUUAAAUUACACUUGAAAAUCAAGGAAUCUAAUUAAAGAUUUUUAAACUAUAAGAACAAUUUACGAACAUUGUUGAAGCUUGGAGGACUAAAAUUAUAAUAUACUCUAAAAGAAAAAAUAAGUUGAACUCAUGCAUGGUUGAGGUUCUAAUCAUGAACACUUAUUAUCAAAACAGCUACAAUAUGCACCACAUCUUCCAUUUUCAAAAAAGGUUUGAAUGACACAUCUAAUUGCCUCACAUGCAACAUGUAGGGCAUUGAAUUCAUAAUAUCUGUUGGAUGUCGUAGCAUGCAGGACAUGGUGUAACAACCCAAAAUCUCAUCCAAAAUGGCUAGUCGGAAAAUAUUAUUUAGAUUCUUUAAUCCGUAUAAGCAUCUAAGAUCUACCCAGCAAAUAACUAACGUAGGACUAAAUAUAUGCCCGCACGAAUUCUCAUAUAUGAAAUGUACCACAAGUGCAAACAGUGACAUACAAGUACACAUCAAGCCUCAUCCCACCUCGUCUGGUCUCUUGGACAACAAUUUGCAUCUUUUUCAUUUGUGACACCACCUAGUAGGUCCAAGAGCUAUUUCAAUCCUAUUUGAAUUGGUCUGCCUGCACAACUGCUAUCUUGUCCCAUGUGGUUGUAUUUUUCUCUCUUCAAUGUUACAAAAUAAACAUUUCAUUUUGAUGAACCUUGCAUGGCAUUGCUUGGAAUUGGCUUGGAACAUAUUAAAAGCCUUCCUGAUAAGAAGCCACCCUGCUUUGGCACAUGAAAAACUGAUCUCCAGUCUCUCUAUUUUCAUUCUUAAGUCAGUUGUCAGGGCUGAACUUCCCCUUGUCGUGGCAUUGAUGUCCUACGAGUGGGACUUUUUCUAGUACCACUUCUGGUCGAGAGACACUGAUCAACAAAUUUUCUUAUGACUGUAAAUGUCAUGCAAGUUGAGAUGCUACCUAUUCUAAUACUUCAUUCUCUUGCUUGUAACUCACCUUGAAACAUGAAGUGUCCAAGCGUCAAGUCAUAUAAAUUGAUGUGAUAUGAAUUAUAUAGGGGGAGAGAGAGAGAGAGAAUAUCCCACUCGAAUAACAAUAUGGAAGUAAGACAAUGAGAAGAAAAUUUAGAAUUCUAAGUCAAAGAAGUCUUUCAUCGUAGAUAAAUCUUAUCUAAAGUGGCAUAGGUCCCCUCUACAUAAUUUUAAUCAACUCUGGGGAAGUGAGUACAAGCUUCUUACGGCCUUCUCACCGAACCUAUUCGUAGUUGGUCCACUUUCUCACCAAAAACAAGAGCGCAUGCUCAUCUUUCUAGUAGAACAGGGAGAGUUCGAAGUCAGAUGACACCUUUGGUAUUGGCCAAAAAGCAUUUCGUUUUCUAGCACUUGAGUGCUAUAUUGACCUCGUUGCAGAGGGCUGCUACUAAAAUCAAAUAACUCUUCCUGAUCUCCUGUUCUUGCUUUAAUCUUUUUCCUGCUUUUAUGCACUGUUGUUCGGUUGUUUCAGUCCUUGGGUCUCGGAUCGAUCUUAUUGGGUUUUAUUCAUCAAGCUAAAUCGAACACGUACGUUGAUCUACGUGUGCAGUAGAUGGCAGAGAUAUUAAUAACACUCUAGGCUUUAUUUCCUCCAAACUUGCUAAGAUCAUGAUUAGAAUUCUACAAGAAGUGCAAUUCUCAAAAAUCUAAAAGAAAAAAAGAAGUAAAAAAUCUACGAAGAGGGUCGACCCCAAUAAAUUGUCCCUGCCAUUUAAUCUUAGCGCCAUGUGGCUCCAAGACUUCGACCCGAUCAAGGAGAAGAAAGAGCUGGAUUAAUGGCAUGAACUGAUCGAGAUUAGAAUUACAAUGGCUUAAUUUAAUGCAUGAAGAGAGGAAUAUGAUGCGACCCUUAAUUUCUUAGCCACGAAGGAUACGUCGAAUACAUAUAAGCCGGCACAAAUUAGGCUAUUAACGGUGGACUUGGUAGUUUCCUGCUAUAUUUCGAUCUUGAAGCCAUUAACAUACAUGCAAGUCACCUCAUGGCAACAAAUGCACACCAUGAGGGCGGUAGAACUCUGCAGCUUCACUGGGCUAUUUACACGCGAAGCAGUCUGUUAGAACCGUAGGCACUGCCAUCUCACUAAAACCUGCAAGUGAUAGUGAAGGCUUAACCAUAGUCUUUAAACUGACCAUCCCAAGUGCCCCCCCGGCAUUCGAUUGCGACUUCGCCCAUACUGAACUCCGCCGUAGGCGAGCCUUGCUGACCUGGCCCACACCGGCCUCCACCAACAAUCCCUCCCAGCAAGCAAGCCCUGCUGACUCAGCCCACACCGACCUUCGCCAACAAUUCCCACCCUACAGCAAGGGAGUUUUUCUUCUUUUUUUUAAUCGCUUAUCCUGGGAAUCGAACUCGUGUCGUUGGCUCUAAUACCACUGUUAGGACCGUAGGCGCUACCAUCUCACUAAAACCCGCAAGUGAUAGUGAAGGCUUAACCAUGGUCUUCAAACCGACCAUCUCAAACACUCCUCCGGCGUUCGAUUGCAACUUGGCCCACACCGGCCUCCGCCGCGGGCGAGUCUUGCUAACUUGGCCCACACCGGCCUCCACCAGCAUAGUCUGUCUUCCUACCAAUAGCUAGCUGUUGCUUCUGGAUUGCGACCUCUCAAGCAUGCGAUAAUGGCGAUUGAGAACCUGAAUAUUAUGGAGAGGGAACCUGCACCGGGUAGCACUCGUCACCUUUAUUAUGGAUGUCGAACAUUACAAAAUACGUAGAAAGAGGAAGCUUUUGUCGAACACCUAAAAAACACCUCCUAAGGUUGAGACAUGGAACCUCCUCUUAAUCUAAGAAGGCUGCAGCCGCUUGACUGCAGUCUUAUUAGCAAAAUUACCUUUGAAAUUUUAAAUGGUUUCUGCUAUUCUCAAAAGAUCUUAGGGGCUGAGGGUCCGUUUCAUAUUGCUUAUGUUUUCUGUUUUCCUUGUCGAAAAUCCGAUAAGAAAAGUAAACUAGGCUGAAGGACAUGUAUGAUGAAACUGUUUUGUUUCUUUAAAUUGUUUGUAAAUUCUGUAGAGCUUUUGGAAUCAAGGAUUUAUUGGCUUCAAAACAGAGUGCAAAUAAAAGUAAAGAGUAGCAUCGAUUUGCUGCAAAAACUAUCUUGAAAUCAAUUUCCAUGCGACAUUUUACUAAUCUGCAGAGAAACAACAAUAAAAAACAGCAAUGAUACCAAACGUGCCCUUAGGAUUUCAGGCUGGUAAAAGCCUCACUUGAUCCUCACCCAUGCGAAUAUAUUUCUCAAAACAGGAGAGUAGGAAAUGCCAAGCAACCAGCACUCAAGUUGCCCAUUUGGGUGAGAGCCCAAACUGAGAGAAACAUGACUGAGUCCUUUCAGCUGAGAGCCAUCCAAGCCUGAAAGGACCUGUAAUUCAUGAGCUUUGGGGUGCGAUAACUGGCCCCAUUUUCCCUAUCUUAAUCUUAAAACAAGGCAAUUUGUACAGAUGCUGCUACAUUUCUCCUUACUCCUCUCAUAAACUAAGGAGAAAUGGAACAACAUUUAUAACAGAUGCUGUUUUUCUGUUUAACUUCAAAAUGAGCAUGCGGCGAAUUGAUAUUUAUCCUCAAGAAGUCAUUACUUAGUUUUUAUGAUUCGAAAUUGUUGGGGACUGCAAAAUCUACGAAUGGAUGUUAGAAAAGGAAUGUGUUGUGGGCCACAUAGAGAGAAGGGACAGCUAUCACCAUUUCCAUAGCAAUACAAGCGAAGGACUCUAUGAAGUUACAAGCUUUAGAAUUUUCCAAAGGAAUUUUAUUUCAACUCCCUUUAAUUUGCUCUCUUUGAUGAUGUAGUUACUGAAAUGUGUUGAUCUGAUGGAUCUUCGUAUCAUGUAUCCUUACAAAAGAAAAGGAGAAAGGAAGGAAGGAAGGAAAAAGAAAGAAAAAAAACAACUCUAACAACAAUGAACACGAAGUAGGCUCGCUGUUCCAUCCAAUUUCUUGAGUUCUGGACUUGCGACCAUGCCUUCGAAUCCUUUCAGACAAGUACUUAAUCCGAAUGGCAUGCUCUUGCUUCUUCCCAGGUUCAGUUGCAAUGCAUCCAUUCAGAGGUGCCACCUCCACUCCAAAAUCAGGUUCUUGGCAUGAUCAAGACUGCGACGAGCCCACAGCUUAGCUUUUAAAGAAACCGGCUCAAGCCAGGGCCUUAGAACCAACAGAGAAUCGAUGAUUCGGCUAAUCACCAUGCAGAGAAUAAGCACCACUCCCAACUGCAAGUUGGCCUUGAAGGCAUGAAUAAGCCAUGAAGCUGAAUGGAGAGUUUCAUAAGCAUCAAUAGAUGUGAUCAUGAAGAGAACAAGAGAGGAUGCAAGCAAGAGGAAUGUUAGGAGAAGGAAAAUACUAAGCAAAAGGAUGCAGAAGACUACAGAGCCAUGGAGAAGGGCAAGGAGGAGAAGGUCUAAGUUGGGCACCAUUGGCUCAAAAGCCAGAGGGAGACGACGACACCGAAAGAGAGAGACGGAUACUAGGAAGGUAUUGUUGGAUGGAGUGAUUUGCACUCAAUUCUUAGAAAAUAAAAGUUUGCUACGAAACUUAUACUUUGAUGUUCUUGGGAAGGUAGAAACCUGCAAUUCUAGACAAAGCAUCCAACCACAUUACACCCUUUUCCGGGCAUCAUUAGUUCAAAAUUAAGUUGGCAUGGCACAGAUUCUGGUUAGCUAAACGUCACCGAUUAGAUUGACAGAAGCAUAAAGUGCUCAUUCCAUUCUGAAAAUGUAUUGUAUGUUUAGAAGACUGAAAAGAAUCUGAGUGCCGUGCGAAUAAUAUUGAAGUGACUCAAUUCACAUUUCCACCUUCACAAGUAAAGACUAGGAAGUACUCUGGAAUUGCUUGGUGAAGAAAAAGAUGUAGUGAGAACAAUUCCAUCCUUCAUAGAAAUUUAUGAUGAGAUUAUUACCAUGCAAGAAAAUAUUUAGCCACUGAAACGAAAGUAUCGAUAGAAUGAACGGUAGUUGCUGAAAUAAAACCCCUUAAUGUAAUCAAAAGAAACUUUAGCUUGUGUCACUUACUACGAGGUCCAUGGAUAGAAUAAUUUUUUGCUCUCUGCGUGGCCGUUCUUAGUGAGGUAAAGAGGUCCUUGGGCACUACAAUUCCAUGCCAGAGUCGUAGGGUUAACUAAAUUUGUGUACCUCCUUCCCACUCCCACUGUGACCACCAAAGAAAUUUCAUUUAUUAGCUACGGAGGGGUUGGAAGAUUGGGACAACCUAGGGAACAGGUAACAUAAUAGCAGCAACAUAAAUUGGCUUGGAGCCUUGGAUUGCUGACAAAGUCUCCGUAGCUUCCGACAAUACUUUGCUAAUUUUUCUCAGUUAAAGCACACGCUUCAGCAAUGAAUGCCAUACAAGUGCACAUGCUUACAUUAAAUAUUUGCAUGGGAUAUUAUCUUCUGCCCUUUCCCCAACAGGGUGCCGUAAAGCCAAAUGAUCCUUUGCUACGACCACGGCAAAACAUGAGGCUACGGAGAGGAAGGUUAGAGACAUGAACCUUGGAAAGGAUUACAGAUGACCCCUAGUGCAUCUUCUUGACUAAAAUGAAUUGCAGUAAACAUCAAUUUCAGCCAAAGAAUGAAGGGAGGAAAGAAACUCUUUAUCGUUAUCAUUUCUUAUUUCAAAACAGAACACUUGCUUUAACACCUACUCCAAGGAUGAGAGAUGCUUGUCAUGAAUAUCAUCUUUGCAAGCAGUCAACCUCUUAAGUUAAUCCAAGAUCUCCAACACUCUUAAUUAUGAGUUCUUCAUUUUGAAGUGAAAAAAAAUCUCUGAUAUCUUUGAUAUCAUGACUCUUUUGGGCUUCUCAUUUCUCAAGCAUUGCAAGAACAUAUUUUUACAUAGCUGAUUGAGGUUUUAGCUCUGCAGAUCAUCAUAUCUCUCUUUAAUCUCCAUUUUUAACACCUCUAUUCCCUCAAGUCCUCGAAUGCAUAACUUGUACUAAGACAAUCCAUUGUCAACUUCUUCUGAGGAGGAUCGCUAAUUGUGGUGGAUGUUGGAUUCUCUGAAAGAACCAUUGUGCCCCUGAGAAAUACAAAUGCUCUUACAACCCCCAUGCUUCUCAUGUACUCCAGGAGAUGAUAUUCAUUUGAUCUUCAUGGCCAUGAUGGGUUCAAGUUCAUAGUAAAAUCAGCGUAUCAAAAAUACAAAGUUGGCAAUUUGUUCAUGGAUGAUGUGUGCGUUCAUCUCUGUCGUCCAAACACAAUCACCAGUACUGUAAUAAAAUAAUAUUAUUGUCAGGCUAAAAAGACUGAUAUCUGAACCUACCUAAUUAGAUCCAUGGUUUGCAUGUUCCCAUCACAAUAGACAGAUUAUACUCUCCACGAGUAUCUGGCUUCAUAGAAGGGAAGACAGUGCAUCAAGCAACUCAGGUUACCGAAACUAAAAUGUCAACUCUCUCUGGUAUAAAAGGAGGAUUAGAAGAGGCGAUGAGGAAUAAUGAGGGCGAAAGGGUUUUGGAAUACCUCACGGUUGACUCGGGGUUGAACUGCAGCACAAGAGCAGACCUGCAACCCAUCCCUGAAAUGGUUUGAUCCAAGUUGCCAGGUCCACAAAACUGAUCUAUAGCAUGACUUCCGCACAUUUACCGGGCAAUUAACACCAGCCAAUCUGAUUUUGAAGUAUGAAAGCAUGAUGCAGGCGACAAAAGCCAAAGGAAAAGGGCACACAUUUAGAUUUUUUACAGUUCAUCACACUGGAGCCACGAAAAACUCAUUGUAAACAGUGAAAGAGGUCAUACAUUGGAUCUCCUCAUUUUAGUACCAACAAAUAAUUUCAGACAACAUCAAAACUGCAAAACUACGAUACAAUGGCCAUUAUCCUCCGAGAAAACUUGAGGCAGGAGGCAGCAUUCCAUUUUAGAUUGUUUGACAUAAAAGGACUUAAUCGCAGACUGUUUCGCUCACAAUAAACGAUAUGCCCCCCCCCCCCCACCCCCAAAAAAAAGGGGUAGUUAAAAAAUAUUAAUCCAAUUGCCAGAUUUUUAUUCUGUUAAACCAAUACCCGAUUUGUCCAAAUCCACAUCUCCCAUUCCUGUGUCUUCCUCCUCUUCUGAAUCAUCGCCAUCAACUUCUUCAUUAGCAGAUCGCAGUUUUGCCAUAUGUUCUGCAAGUAGAUUAUCAUCCCGUUCGCUCACCUACACAAGAAUGAAAGUCCCAAUAUAAAUGCCACAAUGGUAAACAGUCCAAGUACAUGAGAAAAGAGGCUCAAACCUCGUCAAACUUGUCACAAAGGAGACGAGGGGGUGGAGGAGGGCAACAAAUAAAAACUGAUGGUCAAUCUAGCAAAUACCAUUAUGGGAAUUGGUAUGGUGUUUACCACUAGAAUUGGACCAUGCUCCCAAAGAUAAUAUAGUAGCAUAGGAAACGCAUCUUUAGCAGUACAUAUAUACAUACACACACACACACACACAANNNNNNNNNNNNNNNNNNNNNNNNNNNNGUACAUAUAUAAAAGGAAAAAUUUUCCCUAGGGAUGUGGAGGAGAAAAGUAACAAGAAAUUAUUUAGCAGAAAAUUAAUACUCACAGCUCUUGGUGCCUCCUUCACUAUGAGUUUACCCUUGUGACGGUCUAUUUCUUCAGUGCAUGCCUUGAUAGCAUUAUUUAGAAUUGUUAUUCCUUGUUCCUGCCCAUCAAAAAUAUAAUGAGAUAAAUAAGAGCACAAAUGGAUAUGUUUCAGGUCUCUGCCUAUAAUUACACAUUAUACAUCUACUUGUUUAAAAGAAGAUAGAUAUAGGAAAUUAGACAAGGAUUGCAACAAGAGCAGGGUCACAAAGGUCUGAAAACUCAUCUUCAACUUCAGGUUUCGGGCGUGAGACCGUCAAUUUUGCUAAUUUCAGUGGUAUUGACAAUUGUUGCCCACAUUUUGGAGUUUUGAUCAAGGAAGCCAGAAAAAAUAAAUAAGAAAACAAUGGAAAAAUAAAGCAAACUAAGAAAACUUGUAUUGUAAAAUUUGGAGCAUUUUGUGUUUAGAAUCCCUCAGUGUAUGUGCCCAUGUUUUGGAUUGAAAGUAUGAAUUAAAUCUUUUGGGCUUUUCAUAAAGCUUCACUGAUCAUGGAUUUAUAAUUGCAGUUCAUGAGAGCAUUGAUAAUGAGGUUGGUAGAAAGCACCUUGCUUAAUUCACGUGAGUUCUCCAAUCACCCCUACCUUUGAAUCUUGGAAGGCAAUUAACCUAUGCACAUUCACUUUAACCUAAACACAUUUUUAUUCCAAAAUAACUGAGAUGAUCCAAAUAUUUAUCUUCAUUUGAAUCUAUUUUGUUACUUAUUUACCCUAUUUUGUUGCUACAUAUUUACCAGCCAUGGAUAUCCACGUGAGCUCACCAAGACUUUAUAAGCACUACGGAACUUGAAUACUAUUGUCAUCCUACCUUGAAAAAUUCAGAACAACUUGGCAAGCAAAUUAAAGAUUUCUCAAGGAGCAUAUCCAAUAACUAAUCAAAAAUGCUGUUGGAACUAGUUUUAUGCAUCUUGGAACUGAUGUCAGUAAAAAGCUAGUUACUGAUGUCGGUAAAAAGCUAGUUGACAAUGCACGCCUAUUCUUUAAUGUGUAGGACUCAAUUCAUUCAUUUUUUUUAGCCUACAGGUGUUGAAUGAAAUGAUGUAUAAGACCAUUAGCAUUUCUGAUAAAUUUGUCUAUUUUUCUCCUUUUUGGUAUAAAACGCCUGGAGUAAUGAGCUGCAAAACAGUGGGUAGCCAGCCUCCCAGCUUGGUAAGUUGGCAACUUCUGAUUAAUUUGUUGACAAGGGAAAAACCAUAGUUCAAUGGAGCUGCCACUGAAAAUGUCACUACCUCAUCAAUAGGCAGCAGUUUUACCUUGUUUUAUGCACCUCAUUCUUUUAAGGAAGAGUAAUCAAAUGGUCAUCAAAAAAAGCCUUAAAAUCAGACAAUGGAAUUUGACAUAUACGAAGGAAUAUAUAGCCACAAAAAACAGAACUUCGAUGAUCUUCAAAAUAUAUCAGCCAUCAAGAGUUUGCCAAUGACUUCCUUUCCCAAGAAAUUGUUCGCAAAUAGGCUUCCAUGUUUUUCUGGCUUGCUGUCUCAAAAUUAUCAAGUGAAGGCCCGUUUCACCAUUUUAUAUCAUGAGUACAACAACAUGGAGCAUAUUCCACAAAAUUCACAUGGUAAGAAGCAAGAAACCAAAAUUUUAGAAACAGAAUAUCAAAGUAAGGAAUCAUAUUGCAUAUAUUGAUAAACAAUUAGAAAUCAAAGAUUUUUAACUCAGUCACUGCAUCAGAAAGAUUUUCUGAGGACAUUGAAAUUUGUGGAAGACAGAUUAAUAUUUCAAUAUAAAGCUAAAAUGUUUUGCUCUUAUAGUCUCUUGCAUGGUGAGCAUUUCAUGUGGAGCAAACUCAAGAAGUCAUAAGAAAAAAAGACAGAAAAAAGAUCGAUCAUAGAUAAACAUGGUGAGGCAUCGAAAAGUGUUAUUCCCCCUAAAGGAAGCCACCAUGCAGUCCUCCAUCAACAUUAAACCAAGUCAAAGCAAGAGAUUACAUGGCAUGAACAAACACGUGAUUAGAUUUGACUCAUCCGCCAAAACGUCGGGUUCAAUGUUGUGACAAUAAGGUGAAAGAUGAUACACAAAUCUUUAAAAACAUGAAGAGAGAAAAGGAUUCUUUAAACUUCACAUGGACUAGAUCUCCCUCGGCCAUCACAAAUCCUGUCUUUGACAAAGAAUUAAAAAUCAAGCACCUUCACAUUGUUGAAAACAACUAGGUAAAGACCCUGUAAGAACCACAAGAGGCAACUGGUAAUUUAUUGAUCACAUGCUUGUCUAUUCCUAUCUCUCUGUAUUGCAAAAGAUAUCCUCAAUCCAUGUUUACUGGGGGUUAAAGCAUUCUUUAAGAUGCUACAAUUUUUAACAUGGGUUUUUUGUUUAUUACCCUGACAGAAAUCACAAACUCCAGAUCCUUUGCCAAUAAUAGAUUUAUUUAGCAUCCCAAAAAUCACCAUUUCAUCCUGCUUUAUGUUGGUUCAACAUAUUCUCUCUUUUACAUCCACCAUAGGUUUCACUCUACCUCCAACUUAUGCAAUUCAACAAUGUUACUGAAUCUUUUCUUUUUAACUUCCUUUUUGAUUUUUCAACACUUUGGGUUUAAGCAUCCAUUUCCUAUCUUCACCCCUUCAUUGAACAUCUUUUAAAGCAUUGGAAUCCCAUGUUCCUAAACCACUGAAUGCUGUGCAAAUCAUUAGAAUCCCGGAAAUCAGAUAGACACGGUCUAAAUUAUACCCCAUUGCCCCUAGAUGGUCUUAAGAAAAUGUGAUAUCCCAAAAAAAGCCUUGUUUGAGAGACUUAUUUAUCACAGAUUAGAUGGAACCUUCAGCUCAUUUAAUUUAAAACUCAUUCUGAGGUUGCUAUGAGCAUGAUCGAAGCACUGAAUAUUAUUUUAGUUUUUAUAAUGUGGAUUCAACAUUUAUUCUCCUCAAGUUAAUGCUCUUCUUUACUGCAUUCUUUACAUUCAUCUAAUAGUGCCCUUCAUACUCAACUUGUUCGUUCUAUAAAAUUUAUCAAUGCAUUAUGACAUAUUUUCCCAACAAUUUGGGAAUUUAAAUGACCCUCUAAUCCAUCUCUGUCAGGCUUAAAGCCAAAUAAAAUUUCUGAAACAUGUUCCAGACAAGUACAACCACUUCUCAAAAUGGAUUUAUCCACUAAAACUGAGUCCUUUAAAACCUUACAACUUUAAUCAUUUAAUCCUCAUGUUUGCAGACCUAAACUCAUGUCACACCAAGAAUUCGAAAGAUGCAUCUGGUUCUGCGCAGCAAUGAGCAUGAAAAGCUCUAUUUGCUAAAGGAUAUGACGCUAGGUCUGAAUCUUUGUUUCAAAAGUCAACCCAACUUAGGAUGCUAAUGUUGACAUAUCGAGCCUGAGAAGACAUAGUAAUUACAUAGUUACUAAUAUACAAGAUUGUCUGAACUUUGUGAAAAUGGAAGGACAUAAAUUAGCAUAACAUCAUGGCAUGAUACAAAACAAGGAUGCAUUGCAUUUACAAUAAUAUGCAACCCCAACAUACGAUCACAUUGAACAUUCAACAGAAACAUGGGUAGCCAACCUGUUCUAUCUACAAAGUUUUCAUUCACGUUGUAAUACUCACAUAUCAAACAAUAAAGAACAGUUUCACCUUAAAAUCAUCCUAUUAAAUAGCUCUAGUACACCUCCUGUGU
rnacentral:lncRNA from 1 species